UGGACAAUUUUGGUGAUGCAAUUGGGACUACGGUGUGGUGGUUAGUGGUCGUUUGUGGGCUCGUGUAGUAGUCGUUAUUUUUUACAAAGAAGUUGUAGAGGUGAGGUCGAGAAAAGAUAGUGUCAAGUUGAAACGAACGGUUGAGAUCCAAUCUCAAUCAAAUUCAACGACUACUAUUAAUUGAUUUAAAUAUAAAAUUAUAUUUAAACAUUUCCGCUUCAGUGUUACAGAACAAUGGUCAAAGGAAACCGAAUACCAUAUUGAAACUUUCGGUAUUGUUCAAUUUUUUAUUUUUCAGUUUCUUGUAUUUCGAGAUAGGUAAAAUUCGGUUCGGAUUUUUUCAGGUAUUUUUCUAGCCCUAGUACAGUCUCAGAGGCAUCGUGAAAAAAAAAAGAGUUUCAGGGGGCAAUGAAGUAAUGGAUGAAGUCAUGAAUCAGAGGGUAGUUAGAAGUAAGCGGAAUUGGAUUAAAUGAAGAAGUCAAAAAGUCAAAAAUCAUAUUAUUUUCAUUAUGAUUGUAAUAUGUCAUCAGUCAUUUGGUAGAAUGAUUGAGGGUUCUCUCCGAGUGAGAGUUUUCUAUCCUACUGAGAGUCUUUCUCACCUUCAGGUGUAAGUCUUCAAAAAUCAAGAAAAUCCGGUGGUGCCGACUCUAGUUGCGGCUGGGGUUGGUACCCAUUUCUUUCCUCUUUUAUUUCUCUUCUUUGGUUUUUGCUUCUACUGCUUUAUUCCCUUGCUUUUAACUUGAUUCAGUUUAUCCCUCUUGCCCAGUUGGUAUCCCUCUUCUAUGUUAUUCUUUCUUUCGGUUUUCAGCCAUGAAUAUGGUGGAGAUCAUGUUUUGAGCUCUGGCGUUUUCACCGGCUCGGGUGUUUCCAACACCACCGCCUUCUCCAGCUUAUUUGCCUUUUUCGGCAGAGUUGUUCGUGGGUUUCCACAGACUUCAUCCCGAUAACUGGUUUCCGUUGUGUUGUUGCUGGCUAUCCGUUCGUUGUGGCUAUGCUCGUGUAGCAGAUCGGGGUAGGAUGCUGCGUCUGAAGAGGAGAUACUCGAUAGGGGAUGAGGUCUUGGACGGAUCAAGGUUGUUGCGGCGGAGACGGUUGUUGUUGAUAAUUGCAAGUGUACAAUAUCGUCCAAGUAAUAUAGUGAUAAGUAGAGUGUCGUUCAAACAAGGAUCGGAUUAACCUAAAUUUACUAUUGAGAUUGACUUCAAACUAAACUUAAAUAAAAGAUGGAUAACGAUGACAAAUUCAAAUAUGCAAAAACCCAAACGAAAUUGAAAGUAUCAAUUGAACAAACACGAAGUAAAAGUGAAUGAAUUAUGAAAAAUUAAUAUAUUGAAGCACUAGGACAUCAGGUUCCUCAUUCUCAAUCCCAUCUAAUCCCGUUAUUCAUAUUAAACUCAAAUUAUUCCCAUGUUGCUAGCAAUUAUCCCUUGAUUCGUCAAUAUUUCCUUUCAGAAUAUACUAAUUGUGUUUCUAACUAUCUACCCAUGCUAUGUCUAGCCACAAAAGUAGAUAAUCGAAGCCCUUUACGCUAAAUGGAUAAUUUCACAAUACUACACAAAUCAUAACCAGUAUGUCUACUCAAUUAUGUAAUUCAUGGUAAUCGUUAUGAGAAGCAAUCUACUAAACUCAACCUGUCAGUCCCAAUUUAGUUCUUCACACAAAUAAUGGCCAGUUAUUUGAUAACGAUAAAGCACAAUAACAUUUACUCAACAUGGAAAACAACCGAGAUCAAUAUGAAAUAAUAAGAAUUAGAUGUUCAUGAUAAGAGUACACCCUAAAUCCUAGCAAAAGGACUUAGUUCAUGAUUAAAACUAAUGACAAAACAUGGAUGAAUUCGAUGACAUAAAAGAAACCCAAAACCCCAAUUCUGGAACCGUAUGCGAUAAAACCCCAAAACUGCCACCUUCUCCCUCUGCGGCUGCAGGAUUCUUCCCCCCUUUUAAUGUGCCUUUUGUCUUUCCUUUAAAAUCCCCCUCCUAUUUUAUUUUUUCUGCUGCAACCUUCUUGAUAAGGGGAUUAAAAACCUUCCCCUCCUUGGAAUAGUCCAACGCCAGUUUUUAUGAAGCCCAAAUUGGACUUAAUUUGAUAAAGCCCAAAUUCCAGCACCACUCUCACAUAGCAUCAGUCCACUUCGUUAUUCUUUCGUGCUUUCCUUGUAAUUCUUCUAAAAAAUCUAGUUUUCUCCGAAAAAAUAACUUCUAUAAAAUUCACACAAAAUACAUCAAAUCCAACUGUUUUAUAUCAAACCAUGACUAAAUUAAUAGGUAAAAGAGAUACAAAAUAUACCUAUUAUAUCAACCUAACACUGGCUAUCCGUUCGUUGUGGCUAUGCUCGUGUAGCAGAUCGGGGUAGGAUGCUGCGUCUGAAGAGGAGAUACUCGAUAGGGGAUGAGGUCUUGGACGGAUCAAGGUUGUUGCGGCGGAGACGGUUGCAGUGGAUGCUUCUAGCGUCUGUAAAUCUGUUUGUGUUUUUGGGCUACAACAGUUGGUUGGCCCUGUUGUAUUGUGUUUUGUUUUGGCCCACUUUUUGCUUGUCCAUGUGUUUGUUUUGGGCCCUUUGUUGUAUGUUUGUUUAGUUUUGGUUUGUAAUAAAAGUUGCACCUUGACAAAAAAAAAGAAGUCAUUUGGUAGGAAUUGAAAUGAAAUGUUCUUCUAUCAGACAAUUGAAUAAACAUUGUGAAACUAUGGAUUUAAACUAUUUAUCAAGUUGACUAUUUACUUCAUUGUCUCAUUACGAGGUUCAGAUGCACAAUAUGAUCAUAUAAGUAUUUGUCCGACAAGAUAAAUCGGACUUAGGUAACAUCCCUCACUAAUACAAAAGGCUCUCAUCCAUACAAUAUACUUACCAACUCAAUUUCUUUUUUUGGGAACUUUAACGAAAAGCACCUAAUACUGUUCACUUUAACGAAAAACCAUAUUUUUACACUAAAAAGUCAAUCCUGAUACUAUUCACUUUACUCUUUAUUUUGUCCUUAUCAUUAAAACUCAAAGUUUUCAAGCCCUUUUCAUUAGUUUUUUUUUUUUAAUUAUUAUUAUUAAAGGAGAGGCAUGGAUACGAAACUUUACAAUUAUCUAGAGGAGAAAGAAGUUUCAAACCCUGGACAUGAGGAUGGAAGCCAACACUCUAUCCACUAAGAUGUUGGACCACAUGUUACCAACUCAGUAGAUCAAAUAAAGUACUAUGUAUUCUAGCUUCCGUGUUUUUGUGGCUCUUUUGAAGAAAAAAACUUAUAUGACAUGAGUUUUUGUGCCAAUAAAAUAUAGGGGUUUUUUUUUAACUUUAAUUCUUCAAGAAGAUUGAAAUUUAAAAUAAAUCUGGUGUUAGAUUACAUAUUGAUUAUAGUCCCUUAAUGUGUCCUUAAUUCAAAAUAAUUAAUGUGCAUUUUAUUUAAUGUCUCUCAUUAAAUAUUUAAAUUUAUUAAUAUACAAUUUUAAUGUAUUUUUUGACCAAAAAAAUAUUUUUAUUUAUUUAUUAAUUUUAUUUAACAUUCUUCAAACUUGAAAUACUCAAUUAAUGUACCUAAAUGUAUUAUAUUGAACUAAUAUAUUUAAAUGUUAGUACCGAAAUGUAUGUACUGAAAUAUAUGCACCGAAAUGUAUUAUAUUAAAUUAAUGUACCUAAAUGUGUGUACCGAAAUGUAUGUACCGAAAUGCAUUACUUUGAAUUAAUGUACCUAAAUGUUUGUAUCGAAAUAUAUACCGAAAUGUGUGUACCUAAAUGUAUGCACCAAAAUUUAUUAUAAUGAAUUUAAUGUACCUAAUGAAGAAGAAAAUGUACAUAAAAAUAUAUUGUAUAACAAAAAUUAGUUUAUCUAAAUGUUUACAACAAAAUAUAUUACGAUAAAUGAAACGAAAAUUAUAAUUAUAAUGAAAUAAAAUUAAUACAUCAAAAUUAGGAAGAAAAAGAGAAAUACUUAAAAAAUGCAAGUGUAAUUAAUAAAUGAGGUUAUUAAUGUAUCAAGGGACUAAAAUUAUAUUUUAAUCUUACUCAUGGUUUUAGUCUAAAAGUUAUCUUUGCCAAGGAUUAUGCUGGAAGUUUUCUAAAAAUAUGUGUAAGUUUUUUCUUACACAUUCUUAUUUUAUUAGCACGAGAGAUUACGUGAUAGUAUGCUCAUAUCAUAUAAGUUAUCCGAUUGUAGAUGUGACAGAAGGCUACCCCUUCACCAUUUUGUUGUAACAAACCAUAUGAUUCAAAGGUUAAUUUAGAUGUAAAAAUUAAAAAAUACACUCAAUCCAGUGCUGAACUGAAAAACCAGGCAGGGGUUGUCCCGGUAUUAAAAGACUUGCGGGAACAAAAACCUAAAAAGCAGGUACAUUAUCCAUUCAUCCAUGAUCCAUGCACCCAUAACUUUCCUUUCAGAGCCUUAUCCUCCCCGAGGGGCCAAACUCGCGUUGGUUGCUAGCCUUAUGGAUGAAUGCGAUACAGCUGUUGAAAAUUUAAAAGAGCUGUAUGUAUGAAUAGGCUUUGGGGCCUCCUCGGUUUGGCAGGAUAAGGACCAUUCAUCUUCUCGAAAACAACUUACGUGUCACAGCCUACAAUGUUGUUAUUGUGACAUUUUGUACCGUUAAAAAAUUUCUCCAAGAGUUGCCAAAACGACGGAUAAUAAUCACCACUAGCAUUGAAUUAGUGAUACGAAAUGUCAAAAUGAUGGAAAAUCAUAGCAGAUAAGUUCUUCAAGGGACCACUGCCCUUCCGUCUUUCAAUUGCUGUUCAAAAGCAACUUGUUUGUUAGUCGAGUCAGACAUGGACUCCCCAACAGUUGGUUUCGUCACCAAUGACUUUCUUUGAUAUUCCAAAAGGACAUGACUUUUCUGCCAUUUCAUUUCUUAUACAUUCUCAUCAUCUUCUAUUUGUACGGUUACGGUUAAAUCACGUCAAUAUUUUAUAUUACUAUUAUUUUUUGUCUUAUUAUCUCUAUAAAAAAAUAAUAUAAAAUAUUGAUGUGGUUUAACCGUGACCCCACAAAAUAGGAGGGGAUGAGAAUCUAUGAAAAGUGGAAUGGCAGAGAAGCCGAUUCUAUUCCAAAAUUAGAAAGAAGAGGAAGCAAAAUUUUAAAAGUUUAACCGACCUGAUUCCAUUUAAUUUUAUAAAUCAUGUACAACUAUGAAAAACAUAAUACGUGUUUUAUACAAUAAUCAUUUUUGGUAUCUCUUAAUAAAGAAGGACGUGUGAGUCAUCACCUGAUGAUUAAGAACUAAACUGAAGUUAUCAGCUGAAAUUACAAGGUACUUGUAGCUCAAUCGCAGACAAGCACAACGGUGUUUCGUGUUCGAUUAUUCCUCCCAUAAUUUAAUUGAUUAAGAAAAAUCAUCUAUUUUUUCCGUAACUUAAUUAAUUAUGAACAUUCACCUUUAGUAUAACUUAAUUAAUUAAGGACAUUUACCUCUCUCUCUCUCAGUCAUAAGUUGAUUAAAAACAUUACUGAGUUUUAUCGGUUCAAAUCAUUAAUUCAAUGAAAUCCAUUUAUAGAAUCUGAAUCACUCUCAAUUUUCGUUAAUUGUUUUAUUCAUAUAUUUUAGUAAAUUUUCCAUCAAUUAACCAGAAUUUAUUAUAUUCCUUUCAGUCCAAUCCUUCUCUCCAAAUUAGGGUUCUUAACUUCUUAUUAGGCAUUUCUAGCCUCCCAACUUCUGAAUUCCUCCAAAAAAUCAAUUUCUCAAUUUUUGGUGCAAAUACCGCAGGAAAAUAUAUAUACCCGCACAAAUAGAAAUAAUACGAACAAACGAAACAAUUAAUGAAAUAAUCGACAACGAAACAACUAACCUGGAUAAACCAAUGAAUUCAGAACCCGGUACACGGAAACGGAGUGCACGGAAGGAAUGUACGGCGAGGGAUAACGGAGACAUCACAACUAACGAAUAGGGUCACAAAACGGGUAACUGUGAAAUGGAGACGAUGAAGAAUUGUACUGGAAUGUGAACCCAAAUUUUAACGAAUGCGAUCUGUUAAUUUCGAAUUUAAUUUGGGGUUGCUAAAAUAAUUGAUGCUUAUAAGGAAGUUAAUAAGAGCAUCUCUAAUGAAGAUGUCAAAAUCUUAGAUAGAAUGUCAUUGUGCAUAUUUAACAUAAAAAAUCUCUCUGACCGAAGUGUUAUUUGCUGAUUGGUUUUGAAGGUUUAGUGAUUUGAUGUCAAAUUUGACAUCAAUGUCAAAUUUAUUUUUAAUUAAUUUUAAUAGUGGAUCCCUUAUUCCUCUAACAUUUCAACCAAUAAAAUUUUUGUUUCAACAUUUUUUUAAUAAUUACAAUCAUUUAAAGUUCUAUUUAAAUAAUAAAAUAAUACUUAACAAUUCAGUUAGAGAAGUACAAAAUUUAACAUAAGGUUUCAAAUUGCCACAUCAGCCAUCAAUUGUAAUUUGACAUUUCAUUCAACUCUUAUAAUUUGACAUUUCAUUUAGAGAUGGUUUAAAGGUGCCAGAAAGCUUGGAGUCACAAAAAAAAGAAUGGCGCCCCAAUCGAUACAAAUUCGUGUAUUUAUAUAUACAAAGCGGAAAUCAUAGCAGCUAAGAGCAGCUCCAGUGGGAGCUUUUGCUCGAGGGACAGUAGGGAGAACAUGGUCAGAGAGCCCGAGGGAUUUGGUCUAGCGUGUGGCAACCUGAGGGAGCGGCCUGGCACGAGUUGCCAGCCCGAGAGCCCGGAGUGGGUGUGACGUCAGCCUUUUUUUUUAUUUUUUUUAUGUUAGGCGCGUGGCUUUCAAGUGCGCGUGGCACGCGCGUCAGGAGACAUAAAUUCAAAAAUGGGGCCCGCGGCCCACUCAUAUUUCUUACCGUUAGGAAGCCACGUGGCUUCCCAUGGUCUGUUGGAUUUCAACGGCUAUAUAAUGUGGACCAUCCGAUUUGCAACGGUAAAAAAAAUUAAAAAAAUCUUAUUUAAUAUCAACCGUUGAUCUCAGAUCCAAUGGUUGAUAUUAUUCUCCUUUAUAAAUAAAAAAGAAAGAAUAGUUUUAAAAUUAAGAAAAGUUACCGUUGUGCCACCUGGCACAAUCUGGAGUGUUGGAAUUCAAUUUUUUUUUUAAAUCCAACGGCGGAGAUUAAUUAGUUGAAUAAAAAAAUUUUAAAAAUUGUAAAAAAUCCGAAAAAAAAAAUUUGUUUUUACUUUUCUAUAAAUACCUUAUCAUUAUCAUCUACAUUACACCACAAUUUCAUAUUUUCUCAACUACUUUCAAUCAUAUUCCUAUCUUUCUCUCAAAGAUCCAUUUUUUUUUUCAACAAAAUGACUACUGAUGCAGGUACGAAUUGGUCACUUCUUGAAGAUGUUGUGUUGUGUACUAGUUGGGUUGCGUUGUGUAAGAAUGCUUCAAAGAGAAAAGGGAGUGCUUCCAAAAAUGAUUAUACAAAGUACAUAGAAGAACUUGCUCGCCAAGGUGAAUUGACUUUGGCGCGGGAAAUGGCGAAAUUUGAGGCUGAUAAGGCUAGAGAGGAGGCAAAAGUUAUAGUUGUUGAGAGAGAAUUUCAAGCUAAUGAGAGAGAAAGAGCGCUAUUUAGGCAAGAAAGGGAACAGGUUAGAGAAGAAAUAAUGGCUCAACGAGAUCAUGAAAUUAUGAACACACCUUUAGAAGGGAAGUAUCCAAAUUCUAAAUAUUUUUGGAAGUCGGAGAAAGUGGACGUGGUGCGAAGGAUGCGUGCAAGAGAAGCGAGAGCAAGAGAAGAUGGUCCUAGCACAACAAGAGAAUAUCAUCCUAGCACCACAAAUUGGUUAAGUGAUGAUGAAUAUAGUAGUUUUUGUAAUCGGAGCCCAUAAUUUUCCAAUCACAUUGAGUUGUAAUUUAUUAUUUAUUGAAUAGAGUACUUUAUGUUGUUUCCAAUUUAUUGAAUUUAGUACUUUAUUUAAAGUGAGAGUAAAUUUAUUUAAUUUGGUAAGUUAUUUAUACUAAGAGAAUAUUUAUUCAAAUAACAAAAACACACCAAAUAAAAUUACAUAAACAUACCAAAUAAUAAAAAACUCACUAAAAAAAGCACACCAACUAAAAUUAAAUAAACACACCAAAUAAAAACAAACACACUAAAUGAACUUAAUUAUCUUCAGCUUGUUUCAAUGCCCACUAGUGCUCUAUCAAGUCAUUUUGCCGGGCAUUAUGCAUAUAUGGCCUUUGAAGUGCAGUAUAUCGUUGAAUGACCAAUUAAUUGUAACGUCCACCCCUUUCUAAUGGCUCAUGUUGCACGGGUUAUUCGAUGGCGUCAUGAGCACAAUAUAUACGUGUUCUUGAAUUGUUCAUCAUAUCUGGCUCAUAUUCAUCAACGACAUCAUAAUCGUACUCAUCUUCCACAAUCAUGUUGUGAAGAAUGAUGCACGUCAUUAUGAUGGAUCGAAACGACUCUACAUCAAACAUUCUGGAAGCACCCCUGACAAUCUCCCAUCGAGCUUGGAGGAUACCAAAACAACGCUCCACAUCAUUCCUGCACUCCUCUUGACAGCUCGCAAAGUGUUUUUCCUUUGCACUUCGCGAAUGUGGCACUGUUUUGACAAACGAUGCCCACCUUGGGUAAAUGUCGUCUGCUAGGUAGUAUGGCCCGUCGUACAUACGUCUGUUGACCUAGUACGUGACAUUGAUGCCUUUCCUUGUAGGACAUCGUUGAACACUGUGGAUUGGGUAAGGACAUUGAGGUCAUUUUGAGCUCCCGAAAAAGGUGUGCCAAAUCUAUGUAUCAAAAGAUUCCACCGCCUCCAAAAUGAUACUUUUUGUUAAUUUUAUGUCUCCAUAACCGCCUUGCCAUGCACUUGGACAAUUUUUCCAGGUCUAGUGCAUACAAUCGAUGCUUCCAAUCAUCCCAGAAAAACCUCGCAUCUCACCUUUCUUCAGAAGCCUUUGCAAGUCCAUUUCAGUAGGUUUCCGGAGGUACUUUGCGGUGUAGAUAGAUUCGAUUGCUCCGCAAAACAUCAUCAGGGACUCAAGAAUGGUUGAUUUCCCCAUCUUCGUUAUCUCAUCCACUUGGUCUGUAGAUGCUCCAUAUGCAAGCAUCCGCAAGGCAGCAAUAAUUUUUUGCUGAGGAAGGAGACUUAUAGCACCAAAAGCAUCAUUCUUUUGCACAAAGUGAGAAUCAUGGUUGCAAACAGCAAUCAUGAUUUUUUUUUAACAAAUGUCGUUCCAUUCUAAAACGACGUCUAAAGUACGUAUCAGGGAAUCCACUAUUACGGACAAAAUAAUUGUACAAGAGUUCCGUACCUCGUCGUUGCCUGUUUCUAUCAAGGUUUCCGGAAUGGCUAGGCCUACAGAUCUGACCCAUAGCUUGGAUGACUCGACGGGAAUGUGAGGCUCUGCCCAUUCUUGCUUCGUCAUCUCUCAUCCUACGUUCCUCAUCCUCUUCCCUCUCAGUUUAGGCCACCUGGAGAUUGAACAUUCUUUCUGAUUGGUUAAACAAUUAUUCCUCUUGCUGAUCGAUUUCCCACAUCAUCCUUGAAGAAGAAGACUUUGUAAAAAUGAAGCAGAAACUAUGAAUAAUGAUAGAGAUUUUGGUGAAGAAGGAAUAAAAAACUAUGAAUAAUGAUAGAGAUCUUGAGAAAAUUGGUGUGAGAUUUGUGAGGAAGGAUGGUGGAUUAUACGGAGGAUUCAGAAAAGAUUAGGUUGUAGAUAAUGCCACGUGGCAUGCCGUCAUUCGUUAAAAAUCUGAUGGAAAUCUAUCCUCAAAGACGGUAAACAGAUUAUGACACGAGUCGCGACGUGAUUGCUUAAUAAUCUUAUCAGAAAUCCAUCACCAAUAAUUGUAUUUUCGGAUAAUGACAAGUAGCGCAACGAGAACGAUUAAAAACCUUAUCCGAAAUUACAAAUAAAAUUAUUUUGUAUUAUUUUAUAACUUUUCGGAUAAUGACAUGUGGUGCAAUGAGAAUGAUUCAAAAUCUUAUCCGAAAUUACAAAUAAAAUUAUUUUGUAUUAUUUUAUAAAUAAAAAAAUUACUAAUAUUUUAUUGCCUAUUGUCAGGGCUAUUGAAGUGCAAUGGUGAAGAUGCAAAAGCUGGUUACUGUUCAUUAAGUUCACUAGGUAGAUAGCAUAGUGCAUUGCCUUGGGAGGUUCCCACGCUAGAACUGCUCUAAGGUUUCAAAUAUAAAACCCCCUAGUUGUAGUAGCACUUUGGUCAAUCAAUCGGUCAGAUCACUCGGGCUUCGCCGGAUCCAGACACGUCAUCACCCAACGAGCGCCACCUUACCUCCUUGCCGGAAAACUAAGCAAUUUGUAGAGGAAAGCUCAAAAGCACCAAAUCCGACUCCUUUUUUUAAUUUCAAAAUUGGGGUUUCAGAUUACUAGUCGGACUUGGACAUGGCGGAGAGCCGGCUGGGCUGGGGACAGAAAUCGGCUCUCCGCCUCUGGCUGUGGGAGGAGCAAGGCUCUCCAUGUACAAAACCACUUGGGAAGAGUGUACAUCCCCGGCAAAGACGGCUCGGAAGUUUCUGUCUGCCUGAUUGUAAAUGACUAGUUUCCUUUGAUGCAAGAGGAUUAGAAUCUCCCCGUUCUUCAAAAUACUCAGAAGUGACAUCAGCCCUAGGUAUUCAGAAUCCAUCUUCCGCGGAAUGGUAGUGAAAAUAGACCAAGAUGCCUUGACCCCGUACUCAUUCAUUAACCACACCUGGUAAUCAGACCCAUGAGGGCUGUGAAGCAUACUCAGCCGCCCUCCUAAAACCCCCAAACCAUAGAACGAGAAAUUCUUGUCGCCGUCUCCCGGUAGGGGAACUUGCCGGUACGUCUCCUCCGCUAUAUCGAAAGAAACGAUUGAGAAAGGUCUCUCAUCGUCACCAUUUGCGGAAGCUUGAUCAGUAGUCUUUCCGCGGCGGACUGCCCAGUGGAGAGCCCCGUUGAGUAGGGUUCCGACAAGGUUGAACAGUAAGUAAAAAGGCAGGGUUUCGGACCUGGCUCUCCAUGUAUUGGUCUUCAAAGAAUAAAUGUCAAGUUGGGUGGCGAAAACGCCGGCCUUACUUGAAGAAGUGGCCCUCACUAUUUUAUAGUCUUCCUUGCGCGAAUCGUAACCGAAGCCAUAGAAGUAAUCCUUACCGGAGAUUGUCGGCAACUUUGGGGCUGCAUGAACCUGCCUGGUGGAUGGAUUAUAAAUCAUCAUAUCUUCCGAGUCAACCACCAAACACACCAGGCCGUUACAAGAGCCGACAAUCUUCAUGUCUUUGACCGGCCGCCUCAUUAUCACAGAGUACUCAUGCUCCGCCUCCACGACCCUUGUAGUACUAUUAGCACCAGUUGUGCCAGCUGCUUCUGCCUUCGCUUCUGUUUCUGCCUUUGCUUCUGCUAGACUUUCUGCUUCACCGUCGCCACGGGAUGGCAAGGUUGCCGUUGCGGGUGCAUCAAUAGUAGUGGUAUUGAGAACUUGUAUGUGGACGGACUGGAGGAGGGACAAAGAGGAGAGCAUGAGUCGUGCUUUUGACGAUGUAGUUUUGCCGUGAGCAUCAUGAUCAUGAUCACGAUCAUCGUCAUCGUCAUCUUGUUUGGUAGAGCGGAUAAGGAGGUGUGACUUGACAAACUUUGGGUCGGAGAUGAGAGCAAGCCAUGGCUUGCAUACGCUUCUGAAACGAAGAAGGGACUUCACCGGCAGUUGCAGCAGAAUUUCCUCCGCAAUCUCAUAAGGAAGCUGCCGCUGAUCAUCGUGUUCAUUAUGCAUAUUGGAAUGAUCCAAUAAGGUUCCCAUGUAUACAAUUGGUUGAGGGAGGCUUGAUGAAACUUUAGACUUUGAGUUCCAGUAUUUAUAGAGCAAUCACUGUACUAACUGAGUGCAAGUUGAGAGGUUUGAUCCUUCACCUACAGGUAAAUUCCAUCUGUCAUUUUAGCGUCUAUUUAUAAAUUAUUAAAGGACAACUACUGCAGAUUAACUAAACGAUAAAGCUAGCUAAUUAAACAAAUCUUUAACAAUAUGUAAUAAUAAAACAAGGAUUACUUUGUGGAACUUGCAUAUCGACUCCAGAAUGAAGUCAAUGAUAUUUGUAUCGACCUUAUUGAAUUAACAUGACCCAAAAUAUGACUGCCUAGACUAACCUGUACUAAUUUGGAGCGGCGGAUAAGCAUAAACAAGACCUUUAUAUAAUAAGUUGGAAGAUAAUAUGCAUUGGAAGCGAGCAAUAAGAAUAGGGAACUUUAACAAAAAGCUUCCGGUACUGUUCAUUUUAACGAAAAACUACAUUUUUACACUAAAAAGUCAAUCCUUAUAUUAUUCACUUUACCCUUUAUUUUGUCAUUAUCGUUAAAACUCAAAGUUUUCAAACCACUUUAAUUAGUUUUCUUAUAAUAUAAAGUUUAUGAUAGACAUAUAUCUGAUAACCACGAUCCGUUCAUCUAAUGCAUCCUAAUUUCAGAUAGAUCAAAUUACUUGUACAUAUAAAACCGAUCAGUCUAUCAUAAAUCAUCAUUCAAAGUAACAUGAAAGUACUUCAACUUGUAUACACAAUCGACCACAUAUAAUUGAGUUUCAGUUGAGGUUUAAAAGUAGCUAAGUAAGUGGCUAUAGAAGCAAAUAUUAUAGGCCGGCCGACUUUGGGAUGCGCGAGCUUGAAAGAUCAACCACCGGUCAAUAUUUAAUCUAUAUAUGUAACACUAUUAACUGACAAGGCUAGCUAAUGUAUUAUGUAAUAAUACCAUCUCCAUCUCUAUCUAACUAUACAACUGACGCAUGCAUAAAUCUAUAUAACAAAAUAAACGUUUACAAGCAUGCAAUUUGAUGUUGCGAUUCCAAUCAAUACAAAACUGAUUACACGCACGUAUAUAUGUGUGUGCGCGCGCGCGCAUAGUGGUUGUUGAGGUGGGAAGUGUAAAUUACCUGCAGGUCGGGCGUGAUCGGUUGAAGAAAUUAAUUACGUGGGACUUGGACUCCAUUCAUUACAAUAUUGCAGAGUGCAGAAAUUAGGGUUUAUUAUUCAUAUGGUCCUCCACUCCCUCAUUGCCAAGAGUUUAAUGACCUAUCUUCAUCUUCAGCCCCCCAAGAUGCAGAAAGUGAAAAUUCUAGAAUGCAUAGAUGCAUAACUUAUGCAUAUGGUGCUUUACUACAGUGGUAGAAAACAAUCAUGUUUAUGCACUUUGGUGCGGAUUGAUCUCCAUCGAUUUCCUCACCCAUAAUAAAGAACUACUUAACCAACUAAUGCUAUCGUUCUAGUAAAAAAAUAAGCUUAACAUAUUGUUUGGACCCAAUUUUACAAAAUCAGUUCGGCGUUAGAUGGACGAAAUAUGUGGAUCGUUCCUAGGAUAAAGAUGUUUUUUUUACGAUAAUUAUUCUGAUUAACGAUAUCUAGAUAUUAUCAAUCAGAAUAGUUAUCUUGGAAUUUAAAUACAUCAACAAAUAGAUUUUUAUCCAACAAAAUUGUAGGUGGAUUCCAUCUUGUCAUAUAGCCUUCAUGCAUGGUUGCGGCUGGAUAUAUCAGCAUGGGGUUUGAUUAGAGUUGUUAGAUGCAUGGUCUUUAUGCAUGCAUAGGUGACUUGCAAGUGGGAUAAGUUCCAGUAGUUAGUUGGAUAGGUGUCUGCAACGUGUGGGGCGUAUAGGCAUUGAGAAAAACAAGGUGAUUGUUUUGGAUGUGAAAAGAGCCGUGUGUGAUUAUCCAACAAAUUCAGUGAUGGGAUAAAGUUAAAGUCAAAGUGGGAAUAAAACAGGAUUAGCAUGCAGAGUCCUUAUGUGGUGAUCGUUUUAUUUCUCAGAAUAUUCCAUUACAAGUCUUUAGGUGCAAUUGAAAUCCUCUGCUUAUCAUUCAGGCCGUGGCAAGCUAACUCGUCCCUAUAAAUACAAGAUGCUGAGCAACAUUUGAGGGCCCCCACAAAAUCAAUACAAAAUUGCCCUGCGCAAACUCUCACAACUUGAGAUCUUUUUCUUUUCCUUUUUCGCUGACACAUCUUCCGUUGGCAUCAACAGCACUGUGGAAGCACCCGGUGGUAUCUUAAGUCGGCAUAGAUAGCUCUGUCACCGUAGAGUCGGUCGGUCUCGCAGUAUCUUCCGUUGGCAUCAACAGCACUGCGGCGAGAACGGUCGGUUACCUAUCCAAGUCUCGGUCGAGGAGGGUUUUCGAAUCCUUGUUGGUCGAGGUCAUCUCAUUAGCCUUCUCGGCGAGGUGAGGUGUCACAUUUAUUACAUUCGGCACAUUGCAAGCCGAAUUCGGUUCGUGAACUUUGUAAGAAAUAGCAGCCUUGUCUUCAGGCUCGAGAACCCAAGAGGCCGAGACGUGUUCCUUUCUCGGCCACAAUCGCAAGACGCAGAAGUCAGUAGCGCGACUCGGCACAGCAUUAUCAAAUUUACUCCUCGGCCGAGCCUCGGCCGACGAGUUGGCACGCCCCGCAAUCACCGAAGGACGUAGUUAGCUUAUUAAUUACUCGGCCUGCGCGCCACGUAGGCUUUGUAGUUUCUAGGGUCAACACAUAUAUUGCGGAAUUUAACGAAUAAAUUUACGUUGAAAAGUUUGAGAAAAUUUAAUAGGUGGAUAUGAUUUACUUGGAAGGCAAUGUAUAGUGUCAUUAGUGCUAUAGUUUAUGGUCUUCCAUUUCACUUGUAUAAGUGAGAAAUCUGAAGUUUUUAAUUCUCGUAAAUUACAAAUCCGAUACUAAUUUUUCAAGCUGAGCUAUUGUGUGAUUUACUCCAAUCCAUAUCGCUGUGUAUAAGUACAAUAUACCCAAAUAUACAUUGUUAUAUAGUAGGACUCUCCAGAGCUCUCCUGUUGUUGACCUCUCAGUGCUGAUUUGGAUUGGCCAACCAUUUUGGGGAAAACUAAUUAUUUUUUAGGUUGCAAUUGGGUUUGUACAAAAUUGAGUUAAUUACUUAAUUAGUUCAACUAAUUUGUACUUGUUUCCUAAUAAGACCCUACAAUUGUAUAUAAACUUGUUUGGGCCCAAAAUAGUAUUUUGGGUCGAGCUAAGAGUCAUUCUUGACCCAGUAACAUUCAUCUAGAAUCUUGUCAUGGGCUGUCUAGUCAAGGUCAGCCGAAUACUGUUGCGAGGUGGAUUGGUUUAGAUAAGAGUGAGGUAGUCAAACCCUAGUGCAACAAGGAGUCUUAAAGCUGAAGAUGCUUAGAAUUAGGGGAUAAUCUGGUUCAUUAAGAAGCUUUGUUCAAAGUUCUAUAAGGGUUAGGAUUGGCCGAAACCUGAUCAGGUUGGGUUGAUGAGUUCUAAUCUGAGUACAUUUCUAGUUUAGCCAUGAGAAGGUUUGUUGCUAUCAAUAGAUAAGGGGAUGCAUCAUUCAAGGCCCCUUAAAAUCAACACAUAAAUUCCCCUGCGCAAAGCUUCUCAACAAUCUUGACAUUUUUUCCUCUUCCCCCAUCUUUUGGCCAACACAUCUUCAGUUUAGAUAAACAGGAAUGUGAAGGCAACCGUCAACAUCUUCAAUUUGGAUAAACAACACUGGAGUCAUCGAAUCAGCUGACCGAUGAGCAUCUUUAGUUUGGAUAAACAGCACUGCUUCGAGAUCGACUGGUUAUUAUCCAAGUCUCGGUUGGCAAUGAUUCUUUAGUCUUUGUUGGCAGAUGUCAUCUCAUCAACCUUCUCAGUGAAGUGAGGUGUUACAGGUUACUAGGCUUGACACAUUGAACAUCGAGUGUUAUUUUAUGAUCAUAUAUUCGCAAGUACAUUUUAGAGCUCGGCAUUCCGAUGGCCAAACCACAUUUACAAUCAAGACAUUUAUUUUUUUUGAGUGCUUAUGUCUGUAUAUUUUGGUACCAGUUCGACGCACUUAUACUCUCACGAAUAUAAUUACCGAGACCGAACCCAGCGCUGACGAUUCGUGAACUUCAAAUAAACUAGUAGCCUUAUUUUCAGGCUCUAGAACCCAAAGGCUGAGACGUAUUCCUUCCUUUGCCGUAGUCGUAAAAUCAAGAAGUUAGUAACGCGCCCAACGCAACGUCAACAUAUUUUACUCCUCGACCAAACUCGGCCGAUGAGUUGGCACGCUCCACACACAACCGAAGGAUGGAGUUAGCUUAUUAGUUACUCGACAUGCGCGCCACGUAAGCUUGGUAGUUUUUAGGGUUAACAUUUUGGCAUGCCCAGUGGGACCCAGUGCUAGAGCUACGCAGUUCAUGACCAUUGAAACACGAUCAAUAAAAAAGAAAACAGGCAUGGGUAAAUCAAUGAAUAAUCUUCCACCUACAGUCCAAAGCCCAGGACAUGAUGGCUUGUCACAUGCAAAGAAUCCUAUUGCUGCCGUAACACCUGAAGCCACAAAUGCAAUAUGCCAAGAAAAGGAAGUUAAUCUUGGCGGUUAGACUCAUGAUACAUAAAUCCCCACCAAAAUGACAAAAAAACGUUUUUGUUGAAGGACUAGUGGAAGAUUGUGAUGAUGACGAGGAUGAGGCCUUUGGUCCACAAUCUAAGUCUUUUCUUCGAAUACGAUUUGAAGAACAAUCUUGGAAGUUUGAGCAAAUGUUCAGUUAAGAGGUAAAAAGCAUACUUGAAGAGAGGUAAUAGCGCUAUACACAACAGGGUGCUCGAAGUUCUGGUUAAUAAAGUCCGCAAAGUUGAGCCUGCUGAUUGAUCCAGGCAGCCUUAUCUUCUAAAGAAUAAUUCCCUACCAGCAAUGCAGGCCAAGAUAGGAUCUGCUCGACUCAAAAUGAUUGACUUAGAGAAAAAUGGUGGAUCAAGUAGCAGAUCGGACAUAAUUGACUAAGGAGCAGAAACUGCACUUGUUGACAUGGUCGAGGUCCAAAGAAUGAUUGAUUCAGCCUUAAAAAAUGGGUCGAAGUUUCCAAAAUUCAUUAACCAUAUCCAGCCUUUGUGGAAAGAUUCGAGUAUCCUAAGGGAUUCAAGAUUCCAGACUUUAGCCUUUUUGUUGGAGAGUCAUCAUUGUCCUUCUUAGAACACGUGGCUCGAUUCACUGCUAAAUUUGGAGAUGUUAACAGUGAUUUUCAUAAACUACGACAAUUCAAUUUCUCAUUAACCGACUCAGUGUUCGCAUGGUACAUCAACCUCUCACCCAACUCCAUCUAAAGCUGGAAUGAAUUGGUCGAAAAAUUCCAUGAGCAAUUAUAUCGGCUAGGGAUGGAAAUGUUAGUUUCUUCUUUGGCCAUGAUGGCUCAAUCAUCUGACGAGUCGUUAAUGAAAUAUCUUACGAGGUUUAAAUCAGCCAGAAAGUGGUGCCGAGUACCCCUCCCUAAAGUCGAGUUUGUUAGGCUUGCCCUGAAUGGCCUGGAUGUGGAAUACAAGAAGAAAUUCCUGGGGGCAAACUUCCGAGAUAUGUAUGAAUUGGCUCAACAUAUCGAGCAAUAUGAUUAUUUGCUCUGAUAAGAGAAAAUCUCAAAAUCUCCAACCCAAUGGAUGAUCUACAAGAACCCGAUGGUAAGUUAUGCAUCAGCCAAAGGCGAAGAGUCCUAAUAUGCCAGUAUAGAUGUGACCAAGAUAGUAAUUAACAAACCAUACAUAUACAAAGCGUUGGCUCACGCUAGCUCUAAAGAUGUCAAAACUCGUUCGGCUUCUGCGAAAGCCGCUGUCAAAAUGUCAAAGGUAUUUCGACAUCACCAAGGCCGACGCCAUCUUCGACCAGUUGUUACUUGUAAAAACCGCCAACCUUCGGCCAUGACAUAAUAUCCCUAAGGCUGAAGAUUUGAAAGGAAAAAUGUAUUGCAAGUACCACAACUUGAACAAGCAUACGACAAAUAAUUGUAUCGUAUUUCACGACGCCAUCUAAAGCUGGAUCGAUAAUAGCAAAGUCAAGUUUCCCGAGAAACCUCCAAUGGUCAUUGACAUCGAUCAUUUCCUUUUGACGAUGGUAAGCAUGGUAGAUACUCAUUUACCCAAGGAUAAGAGGAAAGGAAAAGCCGAAUUCAUCCCGACUCAACAAGUCCUUGAGUAGAAUUCUCAACCGCGAAUGAAAGUUGAUCUAUCUUUGAACGAGCCACCCAAAUACUUUUUAAACCUGCUUAUGCCGAGUUACUGUCAGACUCCAGCAUAAAGGAAACUAACGGGCCGAUGGUUUUAUGUAGUCGAUGCAAAUCAAACGUCAUCAUAAUUAAGCUGAAGGAAUAGCCGCUUCAGGCUGAAGCACCGCAAUUGACGCAUGCAGCCAUGGCAACAUCUCAAAAAGUCCUUGAUGCAAGCUAAUGCCAGAAAGUUUUCGAUAGGCUUGACCCUCAAACACAGGAUAAUAAGUCAUCUUCGGCCAAACGAUGACUUGAUUUCGACGUGCCAUUUUACAAUAAAGAUUGUUAUGCGUGCAACUCUGGUAUCUCAAGUUCACCUACGUACCGGUGAACCUUCAAGCCACAUAAGCCACGCGACCAGCAUUGGUAUAGCUACAACUCCCCUACCGGUGCAUAAACUGCAUUGUCCAAGUCGUAAAAAUGUUACCUCCAAAUAAUAGACUGUAUGGCUCACUGAUGAGCAGCCUAGGUUACCCCAGGUACCAAAUGGUAGCUGAAAGAAAUGGUGGAUAACGAAGAUGACCAACAACCUCCGGCAAUCAUGGCCGAGCUGCUUUGAGGAAAGAUGGUGAUCAAUCGUGAUUUUGGAACCACAAUUGAAGAAUCCGAGAAUCGAAUUAAACUCCUUCGGCCUAAGGAGAUAAAUGUUCGCAUUGAGCACUUAUAGAAGAAAGUCAAAAGCAAGCGUCCUCCACUACCCUCACAAAAGCCAUUAAUUAAAUUUUGGUGAAAUAUCCACCCGCUGUUUCUUGGUUAAGCUUUGGAAUACAUGCGGGAGUUUCACAAGAAACAUUCGGCUAAGGACUUGUAUGGCCUACCAAAAGCAUGUCAAGAGUCUCUUCAUCUGGCGUUAACCUGCCCCGAUGCUGAACAGAUCAUCCAAAAGACCAUGGAUCCGGGAAUGAAAGCUAGGUUCCAACAUAUACGCGAGGCCCGAGUUCUCGGCUUUGAGGUAGAACCUUACACUGAUAUUGAUACUGCCGAUCUUCCUUUCUCUCUCGAGGACCUCCAAUAUCUGUGGUACCAUUUUGAAGUUUUCUCAGCUGUUUCCCUUUUCGGCCUUAUGGCCAAUGAAAAAGAGUGUGUGGCACAUUUAGAUGCUUACCUGGCCACAAGAGAUGCCCGCGUCAGAUAUUAGGAGCGGACUCACAAGGCUUCACAAGCGUAAGACCAAGUACCAAGACGAGCGAGACAGUGGAUAAAAUUCAAUACAAAACAAUUUCGACAAACAUGCCGUAUGAACAUGUUGUCACUACAGCCGAAGAUGGCCAAGCAAGUGAUGCCCAUAAGCAAGACAUAUCGCCCGAAAAUCUAGAGGACAAAGAUCAUAACCCGAUGGGCCCUUCGGUCUUCGACAACAUGGAAAUCAGCGUGGUCCAUGUCUUAUCUGCAGAAAUCCGGCCAAAAACAUCCCAACCAAAUUUCCUGGACGGUGACGAAAUUAUCAAGGAGGUCACGCAAGUUAAUUUUGUAACCAUCGAAGAAGUUGAGCAAAUAAGCAAAGAGGAUAAACUUAAAGCAGCUCUCGCCGAACUGUUUCCCUAUUUUUCAUCCAUUGAUCUUCAUCACUUGAAGCCGUUGUAUGUCAUGGCCCAUAUUGAAGGAUGCCCGAUUUCUAAAAAAAAAUUUGAUUGUGGAGUAACAAUCAACAUCAUAUCCGUUUUUAUCAUGAAAACACUACAUUAAUCCAAUGAGGAACUCAUUCCAUCAGAGGUAAGCAUGAACAUCUUUGUCGGUGACAAAUCUCAGACUAAGGGAGUCAUUCUUUUAGAGGUGAAAAUCGUAGGUUAAAAUCACAUGACCUUAUUUUUUAUAGUCGAUUCAAAGAUCGAGUAUAAUGCAUUCCUUGGUCGUGACUGGAUCCACUAAGCUAGCUAUAUCCCUUCGUCAUUAUAUCAAGUCCUCAUCUUUCGAUCGUAGUUCAUCCGGCCGACAAUCAGUCGUUCGAAGCUAAUAUGCUUCAAGCUCGCUAUUAUAAUCAUCACGUCGGCUACAUCACCCCGCAAGGUUUUAACGAAGAAGGACGACCGACUCGGAUCUCAGUUCAGAAAGCCAUUGAGGUUGACACCAAGACUGUUCACCAAGAUUUAAAGUAAACUUAGUAGAGUUCCUCGUCGAAUGAGACAACGGUCCAAUCCUGUCACUUGAUAAAGUCUAAGCUGCCUUGGCCGAUAACCCUUGGCAUUUAUUUAUUAGUUCUUUGUUACCCCAACCUAUGAAAGUUGAGCUUUGUAAAUUGCCCAAAGAAUUUAAAUACUAUUUCGCUUGGAGUUACCAUGAGAUGCCUGGCCUAGAUCGCACAUUCGUCGAGCAUGAAUUACGAAUCAAGGUUGGUUGUAAACCUUUUCGCCAACCCCCCUCUGAUAAUUCUCGAUCGAAGUUCAACUUGGCAUAAAAGAUGAACUCGUUUGACUUUUAAAAGCCGGUUUUAUUCCGAUAGCUUGAUAUGUCAAAUGGUUGGCGAAUAUUGUCCCAAUUUUAAAGAAAAGUGAUGCUCUACAUAUUUGCAUUGAUUUUCGUAAUUUAAACUUUGUUGAUGCACAAAACCGGAGGUCUUGGAACAACGUAAAUCCGACCGUGAAUCUGCAGAAAUGUAAAUAACACAAGAUGUAUUGUGGUUCACCCCAAGAUUUGGGCUACGUCCACACUGAUAUUGUAUUUAUCUGAGAGGUGAGGGAGAGAAUGUGAGAGCCUCUGUAAUGAGAGUGAGUCUUUGAGAGGAGGUUGAGUUUUUGAGAGGGGGUGAGAGGUUCUAGGAAUUGACCUCCUCCGAUUGUGAGGGUGAUUAGUCCUUUUAUAGAAUAAGGGCUCCUCACUUAUUACAUAUUUGCCCAUUCCUUUAUUACAUAAUUACAUUUGAGUCCCCCGAGUAUUUAUAAGAGAUCUAAAUACGGAGGCCCUAAGUAUGGUACAAACAGUAGUCCCCCAAGUCUUCAGUCAAGAGAGUCUUUUGGCUGGAGACUUGAAAUUCAGUCCAUGUGUGGGCCAAAGUAACUAGAUGUCAUCUUGAACAGAUACUUAAUAUGAGGUGGUGCUUAAAGUGAAAUGAUGUUCAACUAGAAGUAGCACAUGUUGCGAGGCUGCUCUGCUUAUGGCUUAUGUUGCCUUGGUUAGCUCGGCUUGUUGCGUUUGAAGGUGAGGGAGUCCCUUUUAUAGAAUAAGGUCUCGCUCCUUAAUACAUAAAUGAUGGGCUAGAGUUGAUGCUCGCGGCGAGGCGGUUGCUCAGUAGGCGGUGAUGCUAUCUGAUGAUGGUGAGGGAAUCCCUUUUAUAAAAUAAGGGCUCGCUCCUCAAUACAUGAAUAAUGGGCUAGAGUUGAUGCUCUCUAAUGAUGAUGAGGGAGUCCCUUUUAUAGAAUAAAGGCUCACUCCUCAGUACCUGAAUAACGGGUGCUCUCUAAUGAAAGUAAGGGAGUCCCUUUUAUAAAAUAAGGGCUCGUUCCUCAGUACAUAAAUAAUGGGCUAAGUUCCCCAAGUAUUUUUCAUGAGGCCUAGUUGAGGCCCAAUAUAUGGUACAUAAUGUAGUCCCCCAAGUAUUCGGUCAAUAGAGUCUUUUGGCUAGAGACUUCAAAUUGAAUCCAUGCAUGGGCCGAAGUGGCGGUUGUUCAGAAGCGGUAUUUGUAUACGCUGUACUGAAGCUUUGUAGGUGAAGCUUUGCAAGUGAAAGCUUUGAAGUUGGAGCUCUGUAAAUGAAGCUUUUGAAGCUAGAGCUUUUUGUAAAUGAAGCUUUUGAAGCUAGAUCUCUGUAAAUAAAGCUUUUGAAGCUAGAGCUUUUGUAAAUGAAGCUUUUGAAGCUAGAGCUCUGUAAAUGAAGCUUUUGAAGCUGAUUGACAUGAGUGAUGCUCAUGGAUGUUGACAUGAGUGAUGCUCAUGAAUGUUGAUAUGAGUGGUGCUCAUGAAUGUUGACAUGAGUGAUGCUCAUGAAUGUUUAUGUAUGAUUGAUAUGAGUAAUGCUCAUGAAUGUUUAUGUAUGAUUGAUAUGAGUGAUGCUUAUGUAUAAUUUUGAAGUACUAGGCGUACUUUUGAUCACCUAGUGGGUGAUAAUGGCGGUAGGCUGCCGAAUAAUUUUGGAGUACUGGGCGUCUUUUGAUCACCAGGUUGGCGAUAAUAGCAGCGGGGUGCCGAAUAAUUUUUUUGUGGUACUUGACGUACUUUGGUUCACCUGGUUGGUGCUAUUUUGGGCUUAUGGGCCUUCGCCCUCUACUCAACAUUCCAGCCCAUUUAUUUUGGGUUUUGCCGUUUUAUUUUAUUUUAUUUUUUUUAUCCUCUGACGGGGUUUAUACAGAUGCCUCCGAAAGAUAAGAAAAAUAAAUUACAUCAUUCAAAAAUAAAUCUGACCACCCUCUGCUCAGUGGGUCACGCCCAUAAUGCCAUCACCACCACAGUUAUGUCUGCUUAUUUUUAUCUUCUUUUGCUUUAUGUUUGCUUUUGCUUUUGUGAGAGUGGUUAAGCUGUCUGAGGGAUAAAUGUAUGCUUUUCCUUUUCACCUGCAGGCAUACUCACAUGCAGCCUUUCUUUUUCUUUUUUCUUUUCACUUUCUGCUUUGCUCUUUCCUUUUUUCUUUUCACUUUCUGCUUUGCUCUUUUCUUUUGUUGGAUAAGUGCGACCAAGCAUCAACAUGCUAGCACUUGUGAAUGUUUGGUAAAACUAAGCCCUUUGUUGGGAAAAGCUAUUCCCUUCGUCAAAAGCUAUACCCCAGGAACUUUGCUGUCUCUGAGACAGAAACGUCAACUAUGAAAAUGAGAUCCAGCAGAGCUUGCAUUCCCAAAAUGAACUUAUGAUUCUUUCCAACAUGCAUUCUGGUGGAAUAUCUGGUGGAGAAUCCGUACUACCAUAGGCAUAUUUCAGCUUGCAAGUGAUCUUAGCAAUCUCCCCAACCUUCAUGGUUUUCACUGCAAAAUCCCAAGCCUUGAUCACACUACCUUUCCCAACCUCAAAUGAGAAAAUUGUAUUACCUUCAUGCAUCGUGUCAAAGACUUUGCCGGUUUCCUCCCUAAUGCCUUCAUAAUGAACAUCAACGAGCGGAAGGUCUUGGGUCAGGGCAGCUGCAUCUGGUUUUGUAUGCAGAAAUGUAAAUAACACAAGAUGUAUCGUGGUUCAUCCCAAGAUUUGGGCUACGUACACACUAAUAUUGUAUUUAUCUGAGAAGUGAGGGAGAGAAUGUGAGAGCCUCUGUAAUGAGAGUGAGGCUUUGAGAGGGGGUGAGAGGGCCUAGGAAUUGGCCUCCUCCUAUUGUGAGGGUGAGGAGUCAUUUUAUAGAAUAAGGGCUUUUCACUUAUUACAUAUUUGCCUCUUCCUUUAUUACAUAAUUACAUUUGAGUCCCCCGAGUAUUUAUACGAGAUCUAAAUAUGGAGGCCCUAAGUAUGGUACAAACAAACUUGGCAACCCCUAAAGACGAAUAUCCAAUGCCAAUUUCAGACUUGCUAAUCAAUGUUGCAGCAAACCACAAGAUGUUAUCUUUCAUGGGCGUGCUAGGUACAACAAGAUUUUCAUUGCUGAGGCCGAUGUCUGCAAAACUGCUUUUCGUUACCUUGGGGCACUCGGGACCUACAAAUGGGUCGUCAUGUCAUUCGGACUUACGAACGUCGGUGCUACAUAUCAAAUCUCUAUGAAUACCAUUUGUAAUUACUUGAUUGGCAUAGUCGUUAAGGUAUAUAUUGAUGAUGUUGUGGUCAAAUUGAAGCACUGUCGAACAUAUUUAGAUGAUCUUCGGUGAGCUUUCCUUCGUAUGGGCCAACAUAACCUUAAAAUGAACCCUGCCAAAUGUGCCUUUAGUGUAUCGGCAGGUAACUUCUUAGGUUUCCUUGUACAUCAUCGUGGCAUUGAGGUCGAUGAGAAUAAAGCUUGAGCGAUCAUUAAUGCUCCAACCCCAACAACCAAGAAGCAAUUACAAUCCUUACUCGGUAAAAUCAAUUUCCUCUGCUAUUUCAUUUCUAACUCGACAUGGAAAAUGAAGACUUUUUCCACUAACUUGAAACUUAAGGAUUUUGACAUAUUCGAAUGACGCGAAGUACAUAAGGACGCUUUCACGUAAAUCAAGGUAUUCCUCACCACCCCACCUGUCCUCAUACCAACUCAGCGCGGUAAACCUCUUAAGUUGUAUAUCUCGACUGCCGAGGAAUCCAUUGGCUGUCUUCUUGCACAAGACAACCAUACUAGGCAGAAGUAGGCCAUUUUUUAUCUUAGCCGAAAUCUUAACUCGACUGAGAAAAAUUACUCAGCUGUUGAGAAACUUUGUUUGGCUUUAUUCUUUGCUUGUGUCUAAACUCAGUCAUUACAUGCUCAAUUCUGUUACUCAGGUGAUCACCCAGACAAAUGUUAUUCGCUAUAUGCUCACUCGACAACUCGACUGAGAUAAAUUACUCAGCUGUCGAGAAACUUUGUUUGGCUAUGUUCUUUGCUGCGUUUAAACUCAGGCAUUACAUGCUCCAUUCUGUUACUCAAAUGAUCACCCAGAUAGAUGUUAGUCGCUAUAUGCUUACUCGACCGAUAGUAAAAAGCUGAAUUGGGAAAUGGACAAUGGUGAUGUCCGAAUUUAGUUUGUAAUAUGUACCCCAAAAGGCCAUCAAAGGACAUGCGCUGACCGAUUUCUUAGCUUAACAUCCUUCUCCAUACGCUUUUGGAGGCAAUGACAUCGAAAUUGGCAUGGUGGAAACACGUGAUAAUUAUUGGACGAUGUAUUUUGACGGCUCUAGUACCUUGACCAUGGUGGACAUUGGAAUCAUCAUCCAGUCCCCUGAUUACUACCGAUGGUAUUUUUCUCUCAAGUUGGAUUUUGACUGUACAAACAAUCAGGCGGAAUAUUAAGGCCUUGUUAUCGACUUUAAUGUCCUUUACGACUUGAAGGCAUCCCGCGUGCUCGUCCUCGACCAUUCAGAACUUGUGAUUAACCAACUCAAUGACACUUUUCGUUGCAUGAAUUGUACUUUGGUGCCCUAUCGUAUGGUUGCCAGUUAUUUAGCCGAAUCAUUUGCAGGCAUUAUGUUCAAGCACAUUUCACGAGUUUGAAAUACUGACUCAGAUGAGUUGACUCAAAUAGCCUCCGGAGUACAACUAUUGGGGGUGAACUGGGUCAAGUUAUACCAGUGGUACGACUUCUACACCCAGCCUUGGUUAAUCAACAAGUUAUCCAACAUGACCACAUAAUCCGUACACGAGUUAUGUCCCUACCCUUGUUGUUGGAAUGAGAGAAUCCUAUAGAUAUAUGCACGAUUGAGACAUUACCAGACUACUAAAGAAGAUUAAUCAUGCAUUAUCUUGACAAUCAAGUGGCAAACAGGACUGCAAGACAAAGGUACACGCCACAAAUUACAUAAUGUACCAGAAUGAACUAUACCGAAAAGGUGAAGACAGUCUGUUGUUCUUGUGCCUCAACCCGAUGAGGCUGCCAAAAUUAUUGCAGAGGUACAAGAAGGAAUAUGUGGGGCUCAUCAAUCCGGAUGCAAAACAUGUUGGUUAAUCCAUCGACAUGGUUAUUUUUGGUCAAGUAUAUUAAAAGAUUGCAUUGAAUAUGCGCGAAGGUGUAUGCAAUGUCAAAUCCAUGGACCCAUACAAAGGAUCAGGACCGAAUUACUUCACUUGGUAACCAAACCAUGGUUGUUCAGAGGAUGGGCCAUGAAUGUAAUCGGCAAAAUUACGCGGUCCUCCAGAUCAGCAAAGUAUGCAUGGAUACUUGUGGUGACUGACUACUUCACUAAAUGGGUUAAAGCAAAAUCAUACGUCGAGUUAACAUCCAAAGAAGUUUGUAAUUUUGUAAAAGAAAACAUCGUGACAAGAUUCAGAGUACUAGAAAUGGACAACGACACGAUUUUUACAGCCGACAGGUUUAAAGAAUACACAGCAAGUUUGAAAAUUCAGCUCGAUCAAUUCAUGUCAUAUUACUCACAGGAAAACAGACAGGCCAUAGCAAGUAAUAAAGUUUUAAUCGGUAUCCUUGAGAAAAUGAUAAAAGAAAAGCCUGAUAAGUGGCAUUUGAAGUUAAACAAGGCAUUAUAGACAUAUCGAACUUUACUCCGAACAGCAAUAGGGACGACCUCAUAUGCAUUAACUUACGAACAUGAUGCGAUGCUACCGGUCGAGCUAAGCUUAAACUCGUUACGAGUUAUUGAACAAAGCAAUUUGGUCAACGCCGAGUAUAGUCAGUCUAUGAGGCAAGAGUUUGAGGAUUUGGAAGAAGCUCGGCUCGAUGCCUAUAACUUGCUAGUGGUGCAAAAAAAGAUUGUUGAAUGAGCUUAUAAUUGAUGAGUCAGGCAAAAGAUGUUCGGCGAAGGUGAAUUAGUGUGGCAAACCGUUUUACCAGUAGGGAUAAAAGACCCCAGAUUCGGGAAAUGGUCACCGAAUUGGGAAUGACCAUUCAUCGUUCACAAAGUUCUCGGCAAAGGGGCAUACCACCUCAAGGAUUGAACUGGUUUAAUUCAUAAAUUACGAAUCAAUGAGAAAUUCUUAAAGAAAUAUUAUCCAGUCACUUAGGAGAAUAAAGGAUUUAUUUCAUUAAUCUUCAAAAAGGAUAUAUACAAAAUUACAAAAAGAAAUCAACCAUCCUACAACUAAAGGCACAAAAAUCCUAAGAAGUCGACAGAAAAAAAGCUUUAAAAGUGGCUUUAAGUUCUAGCCACUUCACUUCGCCCAUUGUAACCUUGGCUUGUCGUGUUCUUUUGUCAGCCUUUAGUUACAAUAUUCGUUUAGCACCAGUAGUGUACUUUUCCAAUCGAGGUUUGUUUGGCUUAAAAUCAUUGUCAAGCUCAGAAGCAACAGGCGAUCUCUGACGUUGAAGUUCGGUGAUCUGACGGUCAAGGUCUGCCAGUCUUUCCCUCUUUGCCUUUAUUACCUCAAGCUUUGGUCGGAUAGCUUCGUGAGUGACCAUUGUAGCCUUGAAGUCGUCCUCUACUCGAAGAGCCUUCUCUAAAACAAUGAAAUAUUGUCGAGUUCUUUCCAGGAUAGUUGACAGAUGAACAUAACUUUUGUUGCUCAGUAAGUCGUCGACUGCAAGGUUGUUUAAGCAUUCUCUUAUAGAAUUGAGGCCUUUGCUUUGGAGGAUUUGUGAGGUCGAGAGAGUUAGAAGUUCCUACAGCUUGGCAAGGGCACUAAACUCAACAGUGGAUCCAGAAAGCGUAAUUGUCCCCGAAGUGCUGAGAGAAAGACAUCAAGCUCGACUUCCUAUGAAGGCUACACAGAAAAGAUUUGUUAGAGAAAAGAGAAUUCAAAAUAAUGGUAGAUAAAAAAGUUGUGUUAAACCUGCCGAAAAGAGACUUCGGCCAUUUCUGCUGGUUUGUUAGUCGAACCCAAAAAGCUUAAUGGCUGAGCCUAGUGUUUAAGGCAGCUUUUCAUUUUAUGCGGCCGAUGAAGAUUAUCUAUGUUUGAUAGCUACCAGGAUGGCCAAGAAAUAUAAAUAACGCCAUUUGGUGCAUAAAAUUUUUGGUGAAAUAAGCGACUGGGCACCUGGCAUUUAAUGUUUUUCUUGGUUUAGAGUUUUAGGGCAGGAAGUUAAUAAAAGAAAAUGAUGAUGAGUCUUACAAAGGUCGAAGUAGCCUCAUGAGGAGGGAUGCCGAGGUCCUGGUCCUAUGGAUGAGCUGGCGUUUUUAUCGUCAAUUCUGGCUUAACAAAGGGUGCCACUUUAUGUUCAAGACCUACUCCAGCUGCAUGGGGCUUGACCUGGCUAGCCGUCUCGACUACACAUUUACCCUUGUCCAUAGGCAAAUGACUUGUAGUUGAUGGUUCAACCCAUCGAGGGCGCUUUACUAGUGAAGGUACUUCGCUCUCAUUCUCCUGAUUAUAAAAAAGGAUCGUUUGUUACUCGAGAUAUCCAGUCAAAAUGAAAGGAGAACAUGAAAGGAAAUUGUUAUACCUCUUCUUCCAGGAUGAUCAUGGGAUUUUUCUUUGGAUUAAAGGAAGAGUUUCUUUCGGUCGCGGUUGUCGUUUGCUCUAGAGUAGCAACUGUUGGGCCAACAUCAACAAGAACAACAGCCAGCCCCGAAGUUGCAAGUUCAUCGAUCACUGGGGAACGACUGUUUUAACUUCAACAGUGACUUGCGUGGUGGGUUGAACCAUGGUUGCCUGGCCCAUGGUUGGGAUCGAAGGGUCUUGCGAUCCAUUUACUGACACUUGGAAACCGGAGAAGGUAGAGGGAUACUAGGAGUGGUUGCUCCUGUGGUUUGACUCGAAAUGACAUAUAUCUCCCGCUCUCUUUUCUUUGCCUUCUUCUUAACACGUUUGUGGGGUUGGGCAGCAUUACAGUCGUCUAAGCCUCCGAGCAAGGCCGUUUUCUUGGUACGGUCGGCACAGCAGUUGCAACCUUCUUUGAAUGAGGGGCAAGUUUCUUCAUGGCUACAACCAUCGCAACCACAUCAGCCCAUCUUAUUGCACGACCACUUGGAAAAGCUAAACCUGAGUCAGAAUGCAGUUUAAAAUGAAUAGAUGAACAUAGAAGUAAAAGAUAAAUACCUUGGGCCGUUUCUUUGGAUUUUAGAGCAAAAGUUUUCUUUGGUUGAUCGCCAAAAAGUUUCUUUGAAACUUCCUCGGUCGAAACACCGAAAAAUCCUUGAUAUAGGCAUCCUACCAAUCGACAAAUGUGCUGGUACAAUGGGUUUCUGGAGUAUUUGGCCAAAAGUGGAAUUUGGUACAUCGUUCUUGGAAUUUUUUCUCAGCUUCCUCGCAUUCCUUCUCCGAGGAGUUGGAAAGGCAUUCUUGGCUCAAGACUUAGCGAGAAGUAAGGAGCGAUACAAGACAUCCUUGAAGAUAUCCCAAUUACCGAGCCAUAAAAUGGGGAUGGUAGACCUCCCAACUGGCUCGUUGGGCAUCGCAACUAAAGGGAAGGUUGCGACCUAGGGUAAACGACCCCUAAGAUUGUCGAAUGCCAGUUUCCUUUAUUUUCUCCCAUGUCGAUGUUGGGAGUUGGAUGAAAGACGGAUAUUUCUGAAGGCGGCAGACUAGAAACUCGUCUGACAAAUCUUCAAGGCUGAAGAAAUACUUGAAAAUGUCUUCGACCGAGAGAGUGGGAAUAGGGUGCGAGGCCAGUUGAAGACCCAUCCCUUUAUAAGAGUUAAAGUUUGGGAUUUCCGGCCUUAACAUGGAGAAAUAUACUUGCAGGCAGAGUUUAAAUACCUAGAACGGGUCGUUCUGGUGCAGGUCGAUUAUCCCAAUGGAAGCCUCGGCCAAGCACCAAGUAAGAUUGGCGAGGAUGAUCAGGCUGAGGGCUAGGACGUGACCAUUGGCCAGAGCUUCGACCAUUGGCAUAUUCUCGGCCAAGCACUUGUUCAACUUGGUAAAAAAAAUGAAUUCAUUGUACCAAUAAAAGAAAAAUGCCUCGUGUUCUUCUUUCUUGAGGUAUUCCCCUUAUAAGCCAGCAAAGUGGUUGAUUAAGGUGAUGUAGAUGAAGAAGUUUUUGUGUAGUUUAUGCACAUCUUCUUUUGAUGUCCCUUAAUCCUUCUUUGCUAGAACUUCGAUGACACGCUUGUGGAAAACCAUUUUCAGAUCCAGGUCAAAUCGAUACCGAGAAAGAGCAGUAUCAACUGGAAAACCAACAGGGGAAGUGCUGAGUAUGGCUAUGAUAUCCACCACGGUCGGGCCAAUGGGGCCAAGAAGAAGGACCAUAGUGUUAGUGGCCGAACACCAAAAGCUCAGGGCCGCUAUCAGGAUCUCUCAGUGCAUGUUGAUCUCAUGGGUCGAAAGUUUGAUAGUGUCGAAAAUGCCAAAAGUUUUCCACUUAUCGCCGAAGUGUAGCUCUAUACGGGUGACCCAAGCAGCCCAAGUUGCGGAGGUCGAUGGCCAAGCUUCUUGGGGUUUGAUCGAUUCCCACUUUGACUAAUCAUACCCUUAGAAUAAAAGUUUAAGGCAGUAGGCCUUCAUCAUCUCAAUGAUGAUUUCUAGGACGUCGUCCUUAAAAAGUGGUCCCAGAAUCUGGUGAGAGGCGCUUGAAUCACCCUCAAAUCGGAGGGUUUUAAUAGCGUUAUGAUCGAUGAAGUCUCGGUAUUAGUCGCAUUCCUUGGUGGACUUGGUAAUAAAGGUAUUGGUGGCCAUUGAUGAAGGUUUAGAGGUUUUUCUGGGUUUUGAAAUUUGGUUUCUUUUUAUGGGUUGAGAACAAAUGGCAAGAAUUUCUAGAAGUUGAAAAUGUGGAAGUUCGAAUGAAGUUGGGCAGAGUAUUUAUAGGCGAUUAAGGGAGAAGAUCAAAGGCUUAGGUUUAAGAGAUGAAGUGUAAAUCCGACCAAAAAUUUUCAUAAUCAUAACAAACCUUCUGAAAUCUAGGUGAAGAGGCCGAAAAACACCAGAAUUAAGGUUGUACGAUUGUGUGUAACGACAAAAUUUAUGACGAAUAAACGUUUCGGUGUCUACACACCUCGAACGUGGGACACGCAUGAUUGAAGAUGGACAGUCGCAAUGAGGAGCUGCCAUGUGUCAAGAUAUGUAGUGUUUUCAAAAAACUGAUAGGGGAAAGACCAUGCUUAAUAAAUGCGUCUGGGUGAUUGGAGUAUUCGAGGUUUGCAAUAUUCUAUGUUUUUUUCUAGAAGGAAUAUGCUAAGGGUUUAUUCUUUGGCAAUGAAUCACUCCUUCAAGGUCGAGGUUCGGCCAGGAUUUGUAGGUCAAAGACCUCAGAAGCAAUGGGGUAAUGUUUGGGCACGGAGUUAAGAGUCAUUCUCGGCCCAAUAACAUUGAUCUAGAAUCUUGUCAUGGGUUGUCCAGUCAAGGUCGACUGAAUCCUGUUGCGAGAAGGAUUAGUUUAGAUAAGGUGAGGUAGUCAAACCCUAAUGCAACAAGAAGUCUUAAAGUUGAAGAUGCUUAGAAUUAGAGGAUGAAUCGGGUUUAUUAAGGAACUUGGUUCAAAGUCCUAUAGGAGUUAGGAUUAACCGAAACCUGAUCAGGUUGGGUUGAGGAGUUCUAAUCUGAGUACAUUUCUAGUUUGACCAUGAGGGGGUUCGCUGCUAUAAAUAAAGAAGAGGAUGCAUCAUUCAAGGCCCAUUCAAAUCAACACACAAAUUGCCCUGCGCAAAGUUUCUCAACAACCCUGAGAUUUUUUCCUUCUUCCCUUUCUUCCCGUUAACACAUCUUCAAUUUGGAUAAACAGCACUGUGAAGGCAACCGAUGACAUCUUCAGUUUGGAUAAAUAACACUGAAGCCGUAGAAUUAGUUGACUGAGGAGCACCUUCAGUUUGGAUAAACAACAUUACUUCGAGACCGACUGGUUAUUAUCCAAGUCUCGGUCGGCAAGGAUUCUCUAGUCCUUGUUGGUAGAGGUCAUCUUAUCAGCCUUCUCUGCGAAGUAAGGUGUUACAGGUUACUAGGCUCAGCAUAUUGAACGCCGAGUGUUAUUUUGUGAUCGGAUAUUCGCAAGUACAUUUUAAAGUUCGGCAUUCCGAUGGUCAAACCACAUUUACAAUCAAGACAUUUAUCUCUUUCAAGUAUUUAUGUCCGUACAGUUUGGUACUAGUUCGGUGUACUUAUACUCUCACGAAUAUAAUUACCAAGACCAAACCUAACGUCGACGAUUCGUGAACUUCAAAGAAACUAGCAGUCUUGUCUUCAAGCUCUAGAACCCAAAGGCCGAGACGUGUUCCUUCCUUGGCUACAGUUGUAAGAUCAAGAAGUCAGCAGCAUGCCCAAUGCAACGUCAACAUAUUUUACUCCCCGGCCGAACUCAGCCGACGAGUUGGCACGUCCCGCACACAAUCGAAUGACGUAAUUAGCUUAUUAGUUACUUGACAUGCACGCCACAUAGGCUUAGUAGUUUUUAAGGUCAACAAAACUAAUAAGCAAUACACACAUGCAAUUAUACAAGUGUAGCUUGUUAUUACUAGGACCUACCUAUCGACCCAUUGCUUGUUUGUGCUUAAUCAUACCACCUUCCUUGAGGAAUUAAUUGGUGCCAAAUUCGUGAAAUGUCAAAGGAAUGACCAAAGCCAGUUGUCAAUAGUCAAAUUUCUUCCCACCAACACUGCCAAUAGAAUACAGACUUCUUUUUUUUUCUUUUUUUUUUUUGGAAAAACACCAUGCCAAAACAUGGUGAAACAUUUAUUGCAACAACACAAACUUACAACCAAGGCCCAAAACAGAUACACAAAGCCAAACGGGGCCAACCAAACACACCAAAACAAGCCCAACCAAAAGUUGGAACCGAAUAAAACAGAAAACUAGAAACAUCGCUGCAACCCUUGUUGCAACCACCACCGCAACCAACAUUGCCACAGUCUAUCUCCCAACCAAGCUGCGCCUCAGUAAAACCCAGCAACCAAUUCCAAUCUUCAGUCCAAACACAGCCACAUAUCACCAAAAACCUGCAGCAAUGAUAAAGAAGCACGUGGAAAUCCACGAGCAACACUGCCAACCAAGGCAGACAACAAAGAGAAUGUGGGGGUGUUUGGAACACCCAACCCAGUGCAUGCACUAGAUCAGAGCACACCGACUCAACAAGCUGCAUCUCAUGGCGAAACUUGACCAAAGAUCAGAAAUUAGAGGAAGGGUAAUGAGAGACAGCAGUGGGAGGAGAAAAGGGUAAAUCGAACCAUGAAGCAAGGGAAAGAAGCAUUGGAGAUGAGAAGAGAGGGAGACUGAUAGGAGCAUAUUUAUGCGACUGAGUUAGCUUGUUCUCAUGCAUUUAUGUUGUUAUUUCUUAGUUAAUUAUGUAUUUUAAGCUAUUUUCGUGUGUUUGUAGGUCCAUAGGCCUUAUAAAGCAAUAAGAUGCAUUUUGGUGCAUUUUGGAGCAGUUUUGGGCUUGGAAUGGAUAGCACAUGCAUGGAGCAAGGUGGAUGGAUGAAAUUGAAGACUAAAGAGGCUAGGAAUGUGUUAAAGAGAAAGAAGAAUUAAUGUAAAAAGGACAAAGAGCUCAGCCACAAAGGGGUGUCACUCCAGCAUUCACAUUUCCAUCACUGUCGUGCACCACCAUUGCACUCCCUUUGGAUUUCUAUGUCGUGCAUCAUCAUCCAUGUUCCCUCCACUGACUCAUUUGUUGCAUCAUUCCACUUCAUUUCCUUUGUCUACCAUGUGCACAAUAUCCUUUCACCUCCUUGCACUCAUUGAUUCACCACUUACUCACAUUUCCACCCAUGCCAUGCAUAAUCACCCUUGUCCCCUUCAUGCACCAGGUUUCUUGCACUCAUUUCAUGUACCAUUACACUCAUUAUCAACCCAUGUCGUGCACCACCCUUGUCUCCUUCAUUAUUUCUGAUUUCAUGCAUCAAAACAUUGAAUCAUUGCACUCAAUUGCUGCACAUUUCUUGUCCCCUUCACCCAUCAGAUUUCAUACAACUUUUACCUCUACUACAUGCAUUCAUUGAUGCACCAUCCACCACAUUUGGAAUCUCAUGCCGUGCAUCAUGAGUCUUGCUGCACCUUUGACUCAUUUCUGCACCAUUCCACCUUCAUUUCCUUUCUCUACCAUGUGCACAAUCAUUCAUGUUCCCUAACUGCAACACCAUUCCAUUUUACCCCCUGAUGCUUUGCAUCAUCACUGCACUUUCACCUUUGAAUCAUUUCAAACACCACUCAAUGCACUCAUUGCUGCAACACCACUCCAUUUUACCCUCAUGCUUUGCAUCAUUACUUCAUUUUCACCCUUGAAUCAUUACACACAUCACCAAUUUCCCUCCAUUACCGUGCACUUCCUCUAUAAAAUGUAGUGUGUGUGGCAGCCAUAUAGUUUAGUUUUUGCUUGAUCAUUCAUCCCUAUUUCAAUACAACCUUCAUCCAAACACAUCCAUUCAUCAUUACAUCUAUUCCUCCAUACAAACAAACAUUCAAACACUCACCAACACCUUGUGCCAUAGCAAAGGAAGGGAAGGAAAGUGCUUGGACGUGCUUGCUGUCCAACUUGGAUCGUUUAAGCGUUUAAGUGUUUUCUUUCUUUUGUUUCUAAUGUUUAAAUUUAUUUCCUUUCGUUUUGUUGUAAAUAUGUGUGGCUAAACCCCUCUUGGCUAGGGGUAAUUUCAAAGCCAUGACUAUGUGUGCAAUAUAAUUUGAUAAAUUCCAGUUAUGAACUCUUGAAUCGUGAAUGCAAUUGGCAUGCAUAAAUCCGAUGCUAGAAUAUAAGAAAGUUUCACAUAAUCGUUACAAACUUAUAUUCAUAAGUAGUGGAAGUCGCUUAUAAACGAUCGCGUUAAGUUCAAUUCCUAGCAUGAGUAACAUGAUGUCAUAGUUGUAAGUGUUUUGUCAAUGCUUAUGAUUUUCAUUAAACGUAAUGAUCUUUGAUUGUAUCUCUAUUAUGAUGUCAUGUAAGGAACUUUUGAAGAAUGUUUUGGGUUGUCGAAUGAUGUCAUCCAAUCCAAUAAAACAAGGAAAAUCUGAGAGUUAACUAGUGAUGUCACGGUUAAUUUGGAGCAUUGUCAUUCAUAAUUCAAUGAAGUAGUAACUGGAAAUCGAGUUAUUUGCAUACAUGUCAUGUGUGGAGAAAAAGCCUCUAGCUAUCCCAUCCAUCAUCUUAUUUCUCACAUUUGUUUUACAAUCUGUCUAAUUUUUCAUACUUGUUUGUUUGUUUCAACUUCAUCCAAAUCAAAACCCUCCCUUUUAGUUUCUUGUUUCAAAGUGUUUCAAAUCUGUUUUAGUUUGUGUUCUUAAGUGUUUUGAUUCAAGUAAAAGUCAAUUUUCGUCCAAAGUCAUUCCUAGUGUCUAGUUUAAGUUUAUUUGGUUGUUUUAAGCUGUUUUGAGUAUUUUAAGUUUGCUUUGAGUCUUGUGAGUCUUGUUAAGUGUUUUUAAAUUUAGUUUUAUGUUUUUGAGUCAGUUUAGAGCUUAUUAGCAAGCCCUCCUAAUUCCCGGUCCAGAACGAUCCCUACUUAUACUUGUACUACAAUUGUUAAAAGAGGGUUAAAUUUGUGUGUUAAGAUAAUUUUCGCAUCAGAGACCAAAGCAAAAACAAAGAGCACCCACCGAUCCUAGCCGCAGCCAGGAUCGACGGCAACAAACUGGAACACGAUGGAGAAACACUCACACGAAAGGGUGAGAAUCGCCCUCAAAUAGAAGGAAGGUCUCUCACGGGGGAGAGAAGUUUAUGUGGAAGAUGAAAUCUUUGGUUCACAAGGCUGAUACGGACUCUUUACUUCUGUUUCUAGAUGAUAUAUUUUAUGAAUGAGAUGGUAGGACAUCUUUAUUCAAUUUUUUUUUUUAAUUGUCAAGGCCAAUCUAGGGCGUUUUUCAUUAUCCCUAAAACUAAAUAUACUCUCAUUUUCGAGAUUUUCAUUUUACACUUCAUUUUCCAAUACUUUUAUUUUGUAACGCAUAAUGACGAACAUAGAGGGUGAAUAAUUGGUUUGCAUGGUAGGAUUUGUUGGAAAAAAAUUGGGUGAACACAUAAAAAAUAAAGAAAUAAUUCAUGCAAUUACAUAUUAAAAUUAAUGCAUGCAUAUGAGUAACCAAUGCUAAAUAUGACAUAAUGGAUUAGAAAAACCUGAAAAUUCGAUCAAGGCAAGUGUUAAACACUUUGUCCUUAAGACAAGUUUACACCCCACUACGAUGUUCAUGGUUGAUUGGCGCAUGUCUCCCAAAAUACAACAACCACGUCCUUGUAAAAGUAGCACUCCAAAUCACAAGGCUCCAUGAACCAUGAUUGUGUUGAAAACUCUCUCAUAUGGACUCAAUGAAACUCUCUAAUACUCUAUGUAUAAUUAUGUAAACAAUGAAAAAAAAGUUAUUUUGUAAUUAUAGGGGGCUUCCCCAUUUAUAUAAUGUGAGAUACCUCUUUGGAAAACAUGUGACUAUUCAUGAAGAGUCAAAAGUUGCAACACUUCAUUUAAGUGGACAUAUCCGUCUACCAAAAGACUUCACUUCUAAUUUCCAUUCAGUUAAUAAAUUUAAUAUAAUAAUAAUAUUAUUAAAUUUUCCAACAAUCCUCCACAUGAAUGGAAAUUGACUCAAUACCAUGCAAAUGACAAUGCAGACACUAGAGAGAGAAUUCAGUAAGAAAAGUAGCGCAUCGUGAUAGGUGGCUUUUAGGGUUCAAUAGGAAAAGUACUACAAUGUCAUUAUGCGAUUAAAUUUGUAGACUAUAAAAAAUAAGUACGUUAAUCAAUACUUAAGUAUUAAUCCAAUCAUCAACUUUCAUAUUAUAUAAUUUACAAAUUUUAUCUAGAUCAGUCAUCUCUCCCUAUUUUUCUUUAACUUUAUAUUGUUUUAGCUGAUAUUAAGAUUAAGCUGCUGCUGCAAUUCCUAGAAACGGGGAUUGGAAAAUCAGUCAACAAUAAAAAGACCAACAGACAUUUUUGAAUUAAAAUAAAGUUGUCAAAGUGGGAACUGGUGACUAACAGCUCACGCACCAUGGUCAGGCCAGGGCACCACCGCUGGUCCACUUCCUCUCGGUCCCCUUUUGUGCUUUCCCUCCCUCCCACUCAAAUAAAAUAUCUAGCAAAGUGGAUAAGUUGGUAAACAUGACAGAUUAUUAUAUAUGGCAAAACUUGCAUUAAAACGAUAUUCAUGACGACCGGUCACAUACACAUCGGAAUCAGUGCAAGCAAAGUCAACCUGCAUUAUUAUUAGGAAGUUUUAACGAAAAGUUCACGGUACUGUUUAUUUUAACGAAAAACCAUAUUUUUAUACUAUAAAGUUAAACCUGGUACUAUUCACUUUACCAUUUAUUUUGUCAUUGUCAUUAAAACUCAAAGUUUUCAAACAUUUUUUAUUAGUUUUCCUUUAUUAUUAAAGAAAACUAAUAAAAAGAGUUUGAAAACUUUGAGUUUUAACGACAAUGAUAAAAUAAAUGGCAAAAUAAAUAGUACUAAGAUUGAUUUUUUAGUGUAAAAAUGUGGUUUUUCGUUAAAGUGAAUAGUACCGAGAACUUUUCGUUAAAGUUCUUUUAUUAUUAGUCAUUACUAUUAAGUGGCACAAGCCGAUAGAUAAAUUCAAAGUGCGAACGCUUGCUAUCUUGUUUCUUCUUUUUAUUAUACUGUUUGAACCCCCUUUUGCAUUAUUUUUUUUUCUUAAAAAAAGAAAAGAAAAGACAAUUGAUAGUAAGUUACGGUUAUUCAUCCUAGGGCUAGGCACAGGCCAGGUCGGGCCCAAGGGACCGGACCGGACCGGGUUUAAAAUAAACAGGCCGGGCCAGGAUGGUUACAACAUAUUUUAAUACAUGAACCGGACCUAACUCAGCCUGGUUGAAACAGGCUGGUUCGGGCCAGGUCUACUGGUCUUUUUUUUUUUUAGGAUACAAUUCAAUCGGCACCGCCCGAACCACCACCACUCAAGGCCGUCUCCGCCCAUGCACACCUCAUCAUUAGAUCCAAACCCACCAAACCCAGUUCCAAAUUGCCACCCAUAAUGAGAUUCGACGCUGCCCAACUCAGAUUUGCCUCUUCUCCUGCUCAAAUCUUUGAUAAGAAGCAUGAAAUCGAAUCAUAUGCACUAAAUAUAUGAAGUUAGAUAGAGAGAGACCAUAGCGACAGAGGAAACGAGGGCAUAGGCGGCCCAGAGAGCGUAGAAGAUGUCGCCCUGCCACCAGGAGGACUCGUUGAUCUCGUCCCACCAAUUGAAGAACAUUGAGACGACUUCCAUGGGCGCAGAGCUCAAUAAUAGCAGUGGCAUUCUCGUCAUUUCACGGCAAAGCUCCUCCAAGAGCGCGAGAAGCUCAGCGAGCGAGCCAAAGUCAAAACACUUAAGAAGCGGAGAGCAGAAGAAACUUAACUCGUCAUCGCAUUGGAGAUUCGACAAAAUCGAAAUUGCAAAAUCGAGAAGAUGGGUGGUGCGUAUGGAUUAUGAUUCUCUGUUAUUAUUCCUUUUAUUUUUACAAAUUACAAAUAAAUAUAUUGGUGCUAGUUUGUACAACUUGCAAUUGAACAAUAAUAUACAUAUGAUGGUUUCUGUCGGCAUCGGCCUGUCGAGAGUCGUGACAUUAAAAUUGAUGCUCUAUCCUCCGUCGAGAAUCCUAGAUCUAUAUAAAAAAAAAUUAAUCACGGUGUCUUUGUAUCUUAGAGUCAAUAAUAUUUGUUUUCCUUUGCAAAUAUUAAAAUAACAUGCUUCAAAGCCUAGUUUGUUGCAAAUGAAAUAAUGUAGUUUGACGUCAUGUUUACUUGACAGCAAUGAAAUAAAGUACAUGAUAAUAUGAUCAGCUAUCUGACCAUGGAGUAUUUUAUGGUGGGUGAAGCAAGGCUCUCCAUGUACAAAGCCACUUGAGAAGAGCGUACAUCCCCAGCAAAGACGGCUCGGAAGUUUCUGUCUGCCUGACUGUAAAUGACUAGUUUCCUUUGAUGCAAGAGGAUUAGAAUCUCCCCGUUCUUCAAAAUACUCAGAAGUGACAUCAGCCCUAGGUAUUCAGAAUCCAUCUUCUGCGGAAUGGUAGUGAAAAUAGACCAAGAUGCCUUGACCCCGUACUCAUUCAUUAACCACACCUGGUAAUCAGACCCAUGAGGGCUGUGAAGCAUACUCAGCCGCCCUCCUAAAACCCCAAACCAUAGAACGAGAAAUUCUUGUCGCCGUCGCCCGGUAGGGAAACUUGCCGGUACGUCUCCUCCGCUAUAUCGAAAGAAACGAUUGAGAAAGACCUCUUAUCCUCACCGUUUGCGGAAGCUUGAUCAGUAGUCUUUCCGCAGCGGACUGCCCAGUGGAGACCCCCGUUGAGUAGGGUUCCGACAAGGUUGAACAGAAAGUAAAAAGGCAGGGUUUCGGACCUGGCUCUCCAUGUAUUGGUCUUCAAAGAAUAAAUGUCAAGUUGGGUGGCGAAAACGCCAGCCUUACUUGAAGAAGUGGCCCUCACUAUUUUAUAGUCUUCCCUGCGCGAAUCGUAACCGAAGCCAUAGAAGUAAUCCUUACCGGAGAUUGUUGCCAACUUUGGGGCUGCAUGAACCUGCCUGGUGGAUGGAUUAUAAAUCAUCAUAUCUUCUAAGUCAACCACCAAACACACCAGGCCGUUACAAGAGCCGACAAUCUUCAUGUCUUUGACCGGCCGCCUCAUUGUCACAUAGUACUCAUGUUCCUCCUCCACGACCCUAGUAGCACUAUUAGCACCAGUCGUGCCAGCUGCUUCUGCCUUCGUUUCUGUUUCUGCCUUUGCUUCUGCUAGACUUUCUGCUUCACCGUCGCCACGGGAUGGCAAAGUUGCCGUUGCGGGUGCAUCAAUAGUAGUGGUAUUGAGAACUUGUACGUGGACGGACUGGAGGAGGGACAAAGAGGAAAGCAAGAGUCGUGCUCUUGACAAUAUAGUUUUGCCGUGAGCAUCAUGAUCACGAUCACAAUCAUCGUCAUCGUCGUCGUGUUUGGUAGAGCGGAUAAGGAGGUGUGACUUGACAAACUUUGGGUCGGAGAUGAGAGCAAGCCAUGGCUUGCAUACGCUUCUGAAACGAAGGAGGGACUUCACCGGCAGUUGCAGCAGAAUUUUCUCCACAAUCUCAUAAGGAAGCUGCCGCUGAUCAUCUUGUUCAUUAUGCAUAUUGGAAUGAUCCAAUAAGGUUCCCAUGUCAUAUACAAUUGGUUGAGGGAGGCUUGAUGAAACUUGGGACUUUGAGUUCCAGUAUUUAUAGAGCAAUCACUACAAUAACUAAGUGCAAGUUGAGAGAUUUGAUCCUUCACCUACAAGUAAACUCCAUCUGUCAGUUUAGUAUCUAUUUAUAAAUUAAUAAAGGACAACUAGUACUGCAGAUUAACUAAACGAUAAAGCUAGCUAAUUAAACAAAUCUUUAACAAUAUACAAUAAUAAAACAAGGAUUACUUUAUGGAACUUGCAUAUCGACUCCAGAAUGAAGUCAAUGAUUUUGUAUCGACCUAAUUGAAUUAACAUGACUCAAAAUAUGACUGCCUAAACUAACCUGUACUAAUUUGGAGCUGCGGGUAAGCAUAAACAAGGCCUUUAUAUAAUAAGUUGGAAGAUAAUAUGCAUUGGAAGCUAGCAAUAAUAAAAAGUUCAUGAUAUAUAGACAUAUAUCUAAUAACUACGAUUUGCUGUCAUUCAGCUAAUGCAUCCUAAUUUUAGACGGAUCAAAUUACUUUUACAUAUAAAAUUGAUCAGUCUAUUAUAAAUCAUCAUUCAAAGUAACAGGAAAGUACUUUAACCUGUAUACACAAUCGACCACAUAUAAUUGAGCUUCAGUUGAGGCUUAAAAGUAGCUAAGUACGUAGCUAGUGAAGCAAAUAUUGUAGGCCUGCCGACUUUGGGAUACGCGAGCUUGAAAGAUCCACCACUGGUCAAUAUUUAAUCUGUAUAUGCAACACUAUCUCUAACAGGGCUAGCUAAUGUAUUAUGUAAUAAUACCGCCUCUAUCUCUAUCUAAUUAUACAACUGACACAUGCAUAAAUCUAUAUCACAAAAUAAACGUUACAAAGCAUGCAAUUUGAUGAUGCGAUCAAUACAAAACUGAUAACACACACGUAUAUAUGUGUGCGCGCGCGCGCGCGCAUAGUGGUUGUUGAGGUUGGAAUGUAAAUUACAUGCAGGCCGGCCGUGAUCGGUUGAAGAAAUUAAUUACGUGGGACUUGGACUACCAUUCAUUACAAACUGGAAGGGGUUCGUUAAUUAGGCAAGUCGCAGGUGAUGUGCAAGAAGAAUGAAUGAGAGAUUAAGAUGUGUGUGUGUGUGUGUGUGUGUGUGUAUAUGCCACAGAGCAAAUGGAUAGUAAUAAAGGAAUUUUAACGAAAAGUUCUCGGUGCUAUUCACUUUAACAAAAAACCACACUUUUACACUAAAAAGUCAAUCAUGGUACUAUUCAUUUUAUAUUUUAUUUUAUCAUUUUCAUUAAAACUGAAAGUUUUCAAACAAUUUCCAUUAAUUUUCUCUAGUUAUAAAUGUAGAAGAGUUCAGAGCGAGAGAGAGUUAGACCCAGCGUGUUGUUGACAUUGUAGUAGUUCUUAAUUUGGUGAUGGCGUGCACGACCAUCAAAAAGAAAGUUUUGAGCCUCAUAAAGAAAUUUGGGUCCAUCUGGGACAUUGUUGUAGUUCUUAACUUGGUGAUGGCGCAUAAAGAAAUUUAUGGGCCUAAUAAAGAAAUUUGGGCCUAUCUGGCCCCAGAGUUGAACAUUGUUGUAGUUCUUAAUUUGGUAAUCACGUGCAGAGUUGGUUCAAUUGCAGAAAAAAAGGGUGCAAAUAAUACCGCAGGGUGCAGAAAUUAGGGUUUGUAUCAUUCAUGUGGUCCUCCACUCCCUCAUUGCCAAGAGUUUAAUGACCUAUCUUCAUCUUCAGCCCCCCGCAGAAAGUGAAAACUCUAGAAUGCAUACAUGCAGAACAUAUGCAGUGGUAAAAAAUAAUCAUGUUUAUGCAUUUUGGUACGGAUUGAUCUCCAUCGAUUUCCUCACCUAUUAUAAAUAACUAUUUAACCAACUAAUGCUAUCGCUCUACUAAAAAAAUGCAUAACAUAUAUUACGGAAUUUAACAAAUAAAUUUGCGUUGAAAAGUUUGAGAAAAUUUAACAGGUGGAUAUGAUAUACUUGGAAGGCAAUGUAUAUUGUCAUUAGUGCUAUAGUUUAUGGCCUUCCAUUUCUCUUGUAUAAGUGAGAAAUCUAAAGUUUUUAAUUCUCGUAAAUUACAAAUCUGAUACUAAUUUAUCAAGCUGAGCUAUUGUGUGAUUUACUCCAAUCCAUAUCGUUGUGUAUAAGUACAAUAUACACAAAUAUACAUUGCUAUACAGUAGGACUCUCCAGAGCUCUUCUGCAGUUGACCUCUCAGUGUUGAUUUGGAUUGGCCAACCAUUUUAAGGUAAAACUAAUUAAUUUUUAUGUUGCAGUUGGGUUUGUAAUUAAUCAAAAUUGAGUUAGUCAGUUAAUUAGUUCAACUAAUUUGUACUUGUUUCCUAAUAAGCCCCUACAAUUGCAUAUAAACUAAUAAGCAAUACACACACAUGCAAUUAUGCAAGUGCAGCUUGUUAUUACCGGGACCCACCCACCGACCCACCGACCCACCGACCCAUUGCUCGUUUGUGUUUAAUCAUACCACCUUCAUUGAAGAAUUGAUUGGUGCCAAAUUCGUGAAAUGUCACAGGAAUGACCAAAGCCGGUUGUCAAUAGUCAAAUUUCUCCCCACCGACACUGCCAAUAUGGUAAGGACUUUUUCUUUUUCUUUUUCCAUUUUGUCAAAGCCAUACGAACAAACAGACAUCGACCUUGAACCUUAACAUGUUGAAUUUUUCUUCAUUGGUUCAUUGAUUAUCAUAUUCUUAGGCGAAUGCAUCCGUCCAACAUCCAAAGUAAAUAUAUAUAGUAAUGUUAGAUAGAUUAAAUUUGUAGAUUAUAAGAAAUAAAUACGUUAAUCAAUACUUAAAUAAUAAUUCAAUCAUUAACUUUCAUAUUAUUUAGUUUACAAACUUUUAUCUAGGUCAGUCAUCUCUCUCUGUUUUUCUUUAACUUUACACUUUUUUAGCUGAUAUUAAGAUUAAGCUGCUGCUAACUCCGCCGUGUAAGUUUAUCUUACAUUGCCGGUCCCAAGCCCGGAUAAAGGAGGAAGGGGAGGGCGUCAGGUAGUCGACAGCCGGCACCCCAUGAUCACGUCGAAUCCUUAUGAAAAUGAAUCCAGAACGAAAUCGCGCUAAAGCUAGGGCGUCACCCGUAAGUGGCGCGCUGUGUGGCCUGAGCACAGUGAUAAGUGAGCAAGGGUCGCUGUAUCUCCAUCGGCACCCGAAUACAGUGUUAAAUGAGCAAGGGGGCUAUAGAAACUUCUUUUCGAACGACUCCACUCAAAGUUGUUUGGGAGCAUAUGCUCCUAUCAACUUUACACGGGACACACAAAAGAAGUACUUUGAUCCUAUUAGACGGGGAAGGGUGAAGAAGCUAGGACAGAAGGGUAGAGUUCAAGAGAGCAAAAUGCGUUUAGGAACGUGGAAUAUAGGAACCUUGACGGGAAAAUUUAUGGAAGUAGUAGAAGUUAUGGUGAGGAGAAUGAUAAAUAUUAUGUGCCUACAAGAAACUAAGUGGGUUGGUCGUAAGGCAAAGGAUCUAGAAAACUCAGGGUUUAAACUAUGGUAUUCGGGCACAAAUAGAACGAGAAACGGUGUUGGCAUCAUCGUGGACAAGACCUUGACACAAGAUGUUGUAGAUGUCAAGAGGGUAGGAGAUAGAAUCAUGGCAAUCAAGAUUGUAAUAGGACAAGAACUUAUCAAUGUGAUUAGUGCGUACGCACCUCAAGUAGGGUUGGAUACGAGUUCGAAGGAGAAAUUUUGGGAAGACCUUGGAGACUUGGUGCAAGGAAUUGCUCAGACGGAGAAGUUAUUUAUAGGAGGAGAUUUAAAUGGACACGUGGGCAGGGAGACAGGCAACUAUGGAGGUUUUCAUGGUGGCCAUGGUUUUGGGGAGAGAAACGAGGAUGGGGAAGCUAUCUUGGAUUUUGCAAUGGCAUAUGAUCUCUUCUUAGCCAACACCUUCUUUAAGAAGAGAGAAGAACAUGUGAUCACCUACAAGAGUGGGUCGUCAAAAACACAAAUAGAUUUUCUUCUAAUGAGGAAAGGGGAUCGUAUAACUUGUAAGGAUUGCAAAGUUAUACCAGGAGAGAGAGCGUGACUAAUCAACAUCGCUUGUUGGUGAUGGAUGUACAUAUCAAAAGAGUGAGAAAAAAGAACAAGACUUGGAAGUGCCCAAGGACUAGAUGGUGGAAUCUAAAAGAAGAAAAACAAGCCAUUUUCAAAGAGAAAGUAAUCACCCAGUGUGUGUGGGAUAGAGAGGGGGAAGCUAACCAAAUGUGGGAUUCCAUGGCUAGUUGUAUCCGAAAAGUAGCAAAAGAGGUAUUAGGAGAGUCCAAGGGCUUUGCCCCACACCAAAAGGAAUCUUGGUGGUGGAAUGAGGAGGUACAAGCAAAGGUGAAGGCUAAGAAGGAAUGUUGUAAAGCCUUAUACAAGGAUAGGACCGAUGAAAAUGGUGAAAGGUAUAGAAAAAGCGAAGCAAGAGGCGAAGAAAGCUGUGAGAGAAGCUAAGUUAGCGGCUUAUGACGAUAUGUAUAAGCGACUAGAUACCAAAGAAGGAGAGUUGGAUAUCUAUAAACUAGCUAGAGCAAGGGAAAAGAAGACAAAGGACCUAAACCAAGUGAGGUGCAUCAAGGAUGAGGAUGGAAAGGUUCUUGCUACAGAGAACGCGGUUAAAGACAGAUGGAAAGGUUAUUUUCAUAAUCUUUUCAAUGAAGGACAUGAAAGGAGUGCUUCUUUAGGGGAGUUGAGUAACUCAGAAGAGUGUAGAAACUACUCUUUUUUAUCGUAGAAUCCGGAAGGAAGAAGUGGUUGUAGCUUUGAAGAAGAUGAAGCAUAGAAAAGCAGUAGGCCCAGACGACGAUAUACCAAUCGAAGUGUGGAAAGUUUUGGGAGAGACAGGUAUAACAUGGCUCACUGACCUUUUCAAUAGGAUUUUGAAAACGAAGAAGAUGCCAAAUGAGUGGCGAAUGAGCACUUUGGUGCCUAUCUACAAGAAUAAGGGCGAUGUACAAAAUUGCAUGAACUAUAGGGGAAUAUUAAGCUAAUGAGUCAUACAAUGAAGCUCUGGGAGAGAGUCAUUGAGCAUAGAUUGAGGCAAGAGACACGGGUUUCGGACAACCAAUUCGGGUUCAUGCCAGGGCGCUCAACCAUGGAGGCAAUCUAUCUCUUACGAAGAUUGAUGGAAAGAUAUAGAGAUGGGAAAAAGGAUUUACACAUGGUCUUUAUAGAUUUGGAAAAAAGCGUAUGAUAGGGUCCCAAGAGACAUUCUUUGGAGGAUUUUAGAGAAGAAAGGAGUACGAGUAGCAUAUAUCCAAGCUAUACAGGAUAUGUAUGAAGGAGCAAAGACUGCCGUAAGAACUCAUGAAGGACAAACCGAAAGCUUUCCCAUAACUGUAGGAUUACAUCAAGGCUCAUCCUUAAGUCCUUACCUUUUUGCGUUGGUAAUGGAUGAGUUAACAGGACAUAUUCAAGAUGAUAUUCCUUGGUGUAUGCUUUUCGCAGACGAUAUAGUGUUGAUAGAUGAAACUCAGGAAGGGGUAAAUGCAAAGCUUAACCUUUGGAGAGAAGUGUUGGAAUCUAAAGGUCUUCGCCUAAGCCGAUCAAAGACAGAAUAUAUGGAGUGCAAGUUCAGUGCAAAUGGAGGCCAAAACGAGUUAGGGGUGAGGAUCGGAGAUCAAGAAAUACCAAAGAGCGACCGUUUUCGUUACCUAGGAUCUAUCUUGCAAAAGAACGGAGAAUUAGAUGGAGAUCUCAACCAUAGAAUACAAGCUGGAUGGAUGAAGUGGAAGAGUGCAUCCGGCGUGUUGUGUGACCGCCGUAUGCCACUGAAGCUCAAGGGAAAAUUUUAUAGGACGGCAAUAAGGCCGGCGAUGCUGUAUGGCACAGAAUGUUGGGCGGUGAAGCAUCAACACGUACACAAAAUGGGUGUAGCGGAGAUGAGGAUGCUUCGUUGGAUGUGUGGGCACACGAGAAAGGAUAAGAUUAGGAAUGAGGAUAUCCGGGGUAAAGUAGGAGUAGCCGAAAUUGAAGGAAAGAUGAGAGAAAAUCGGUUACGGUGGUUUGGACAUGUGCAAAGAAGGCCUACUGACGCUCCGAUUAGAAGAUGCGACUAUGGGACAGAGGUUCAGGGCCGAAGGGGCAGAGGAAGACCUAGGAAAACUUUGGAAGAGACCCUAAGAAAAGACUUAGAGUACUUGGAUCUAACGGAAGGACAUGACACAGGACAGAACACAAUGGCGUUCUAAGAUUCAUAUAGCCGAUCCCACUCAGUGACUUGGAUUUUCCAAGUCUCCAACCGAGAAGUUUUCCUCACUCGGGAAAUUAAGGGAACACUACCUCAACCUACAUGCUCCACUCACAAAGCUUCAACAUACAAGCUUCAACAAAAGAAAAUUCAAAGAACUUAGCGAAGAAGGCUUUGGUGUAUUUAACACAAUACGUUGAAAUGAAGGAAAGCUUAUUUAUUGAUAUCCCCGAUAAGUUACAAAUAUGUACAUAUACUUGAGUCAAAAUAAACAAACAAGAGGGAGCCCUUCACAAAGGUUGCUUAGGAGAAGUCUCAGCAGUCGGUAGAGCCCCAGAAAGAGAAGGCACCGGAGGGGGAUCAUUCAGGAGCCUCAGUACUGGACAAAACCCUAGAAGGAGGAGGCAUCAGAGGUUGAUCAUUUGGAGCUUCAUUACGCGGUACAGCCCCAGAAGACGAAGGCAAUAAAUGCCUUUGGAACAAACCCACAAAUCUCUGAUGAUCAAGUAAAACCUGACCAUCAGAUUUCCUUCAUCUGGUCAAGCUUCCUCUUCAUGUUUGUAGCAUAGUCAUGUGCGAGCCGGUGCAACUGUUUAUUCUCAUGCUUGAGCCCUCUAAUCUCCUGUUUGAGACUCAUCACUUCAGCCGCCAAUGAUUCAACUUGGCGGGUUCGAGCAAAUAGGCGUUGGGCCAUAUUAGACACAGAACCUGCACACUGAACACUGAGAGCCAGAGAAUCCUUAACAGCAACUCAUCAGACCGUUUGGAAAGUAGUCUGUUAUCUUUGGGAGUGAGAAGGUUCCUGGCCACUACCGCAGCGGUCAUAUCAUUCUUCAUCACGGAAUCCCCAACGGUAAGAGGACCAGUAGGGGAGACGAAGGAUGGGCGCCAUAUGUUGUCUGGAGAAGGCGGGGCUGCCUCUUCAACAAGGUUCAAGUCAAAACGACGGUCGGAGGGGCCAGACAUUUUCAAAGGUGUUGAAGAGAGAAGAGGUCGGACAAAUCAAGAUCUUAGAAGUGCAAGAAUGGAGCUUCUACUGGUGGAUAUUCAAGUGUGCUUUGGAACUUAAUGUCAGCCCCUAUAAAAAUCUGCACUCGACGAAGCUUCAGAAAUCGAAGAGGCGCCUGCUCAGAAAUCGAAGAGGCGUUUGCUUUCUCAAAAGCUGGGCUGCUCAGAGACCACGAGGGUCGAUCUCAGAAAUCGAAGAGGUGUUUGCUUUCUCAAAAAGCUUGGGCUGCUCAAAGACCACGAAAGGCCGAUCUCAGAAAUCGAAGAGGCUUGCUUUCUCAAAAGCUGGGCUGCUCAGAGACCACGAGGGUCCGAUUUCAGAAAAAUCGAAGAGGCACCUACUUUUCCAGCCUUGUCAGCACCUGUCACACGCACACUCAGCUUUGCGGAAAUUAUGGGCAUUCUGUCGAAGAUUUCUGGCGAAGUAGAAAGCACAUGAAUCGUUACUGUUCAAUCACCCACUUCCCACACGCAACAGUAGCUCAUGGGUACCACAGAUAACUUUGCCAAAGUUCUCUGACAAAGUUGAGACACGUGAAGCUUGCAGCUCCCACUACAUCGCUCUGACCAAGAAGGGUAAAAGAAUUGCAAAGAAACAACACUAACAAAGUUUAGACACAUAAAUUUUGAAGGUCUAGCUACCAUAUUAUUACCCACAAGGGUAAAGGAAUAGUACCACUGCUGGAUAAUUGGAAAGUCCCGGUGUGUCAACCUCUAUGCUUCGUGGCAAGGUAGACUAGCAAACAUGCCCAACCUUUACUCACAUUCGAGAAAACACUCCUAACAAGAUUGCUUGCUCCAAAAUCGAAGAGGCACCGCCCUCCGAAUCUCGAGAGCCAGACUCCCAACAUGAUUACUUUCUCAAAAAUCGAAGAGAUGGUAAAGGAACAGUACCACUGCUGGAUAAUUGGAAAGUCCCUGUGUGUCAACCUCUGUGCUUCGUGGCAAGGUAGACUAGCAAACAUGCCCAACCUUUACUCACAUUCAAGAAAACACUCCCAACAAGAUUGCUUGCUCCAAAAUCGAAGAGGCACCGCCCUCCGAAUCUCGAGAGCCAGCCUCCCAACAUGAUUACUUUCUCAAAAUCGAAGAGAGGGUAAAGGAACAGUACCACUGCUGGAUAAUUGGAAAGUCUCUGUGUGUCAACCUCUGUGCUUCGUGGCAAGGUAGACUAGCAAACAUGCCCAACCUUUACUCACAUUCGAGAAAACACUCCCAACAAGAUUGCUUGCUCCAAAAUCGAAGAGGCACGGCCCUCCGAAUCUCGAGAGCCAGACUCCCAACAUGAUUACUUUCUCAAAAAUCGAAGAGACACCGCUCUCCGAAUCUCGAGAGCCAGACCUCCAGCAGGAUUGCUUUCUCAAAAAUCGAAGAGGCAUCGUUCUCCGAAUCUCGAGAGCCAGACCCCCGACAGGUCUGUAAUCUUCACACGCAACAUCAGCUUUCCAGAUACCAUAAAGACCACUUUUUCAAAGUGCUCUGACAGAGUUUAAAACAUGUGAAGCUGGCAGCUCCCACUACCGUGCUAUGACCAAGCAGGGUAAAGGAAUAGCAUUAUUACUUGAUGUUAGGGAGACUUCCUAUAUAUGUCGACUUCCAUCCCUAACGGACAUGCAGACCUGCAAAAAUGCUCAACCCUUUCUCUUAUCUGAGAGGGCACUCCCAACAAAGCCUUUCGAAAUAUUCAGCUUUCUUUCCCCCCGAUAAUACCUCUGUAAACAAGCUAUACUAGAGCAAGAAUAUCUCAUAUCAUCAGGGUUAAAAGCAAGAGUAUCCCAUAUCAUGCUUUUUUCCCUGUCUUUUCCUUUGGCCUUGUUCUUACCUGCAAGACAAGGAGAAAGAGAGCAAUCAGUCAACACUUGGAAUCAAGCUUCCAGCCAGGAACUGACUGCCUGGAACCCCUUACCUGAUUACUUACCUGGCAUUGCUCUCGAGUACUCAUCUUUCAACAUCUUAUGCUUCCAGGGAAGAUACCGCAUCUGCCUGAGGAACAGAUAGGGCAAGUGAGAAGGAUACAAGGAAGCAUGUGGAGACAAGCGUAACAGCACACGUGCCGAUACAUCCACUACUCUAUCAAAAGCAAAAGUAUCCCAUAUCAGCAGGGUCGAACGUACUCUAGAUUUGAUGGACUUGUUUUGACCCUCAAAUUCUUCAGUCGGCCUUAUACUCUGGAGGAAACCAGAAAACCCUCUAGCCCAGUUCAAGAAUAAGCCUGUGGAAAGUUACUUCUUCAAAAGCAAAAGUAUCCCAUAUCAUCUCUCCUCAUUUUUCUUCUCUUUAUCCUUCAUGCUGCCUGCAAGAUAGGGGAGAAUGUGAACAAUCAGCCGGAGCUCUGAUUGCUUACCUUGUCUGUCACCUCUUUCAGCAGAUCCCCCAGCUCGGCGACUUGGGGGACUCCUACUACAUGGUUUGUAUCUCGCUUGACCAAGCAUGAAACUACAAGUAAGCUUCAAGUGAAAUUGAUACAUUACCUUGUGCAUCUCCACCAGUUACAGAUACCACCCCUGGAUGGAGGAAGAGUACUUCCAGAGAAGAUGCCACAUCUACCUAUGAGACAGAUAAGGCAAGUCAAGACGAUACCACACUCCGGUACUUAGAAGUUUCGUGGCUACGAGAUCAUUCUCCCACAAUAUUUCCUAAUGUCAUUUGUACUAAAUCAUUCACUUGUACUCACUAAAGGAGAGCUUGAACCUAUGUACUUGUGUAAACCCUUCACAAUUAAUGAGAACUCCUAUAUUCCGUGGACGUAACCAAUCUGGGUGAACCACGUACAUCUUGUAUUUGCUUUCCUAUCUCUAUCCAUUUAUAUACUUAUCCACACUAAUGACCGGAGCAAUCUAGCGAAGAUCACAAAAAGUGACCGUUUUCGCUACCUAGGAUCUAUCUUGCAAGAGAACGGAGAAUAAGAUGGAGAUCUCAACCAUAGAAUACAAGCUGGAUGGAUGAAGUGUAAGAGUGCAUCCGGCGUGUUGUGUGACCGUCGUAGGCCACUUAAGCUCAAGGGAAAAUUUUAUAGGACGGCAAUAAGGCCAGCGAUGUUGUAUGGCACAGAAUGUUGGGCGGUGAAGCAUCAACGUACACCAAAUGGGUGUAGCGGAGAUGAGGAUGCUUCGUGGGAUGUAUGGGCACACGAGAAAGGAUAAGAUUGGGAAUUAGGAUAUCCGAGGUAAAGUAGGAGUAGCCAAAAUUGAAGGAAAUAUGAGAGAAAAUCGGUUCCGGUGGUUUGGACAUGUGCAAAGAAGGCCUACUGACGCUCUGGUUCGAAAAUGUGACUACGAGACAGAGGUUCGGGGCCGAAGGAGUAGAGGAAGACCUAGGAAAACUUUGGAAGAGACCCUAAGAAAAGACUUGAGUACUUGGAUCUAACGGAGGACAUGACACAAAUGAGCGCAAUGGCGUUCUAGGAUUCAUAUAGCCGACCCCACUUAGUGAGAAAAGGCUUUGUUGUUGUUGUAUUAAGAUUAAGCUGCUGCUGCUGCAAUGCCAAGAGAUGGGGAUUUGAAAGUCAGCCAACAAUAAAGAGACAAGCAGACUUUAAAAUAAAGUUGACAAAUUGGGAACCCGUGACUAACAAUAAAAGGAUCAGGAUCCUCUCCGUACCUUAAAAAACUAAACUUGUUAAGCAGACAAUCGUGAUCGUUGAAAUUUGAUUAAACAAUUAUAAAUAAGAGAUCCUAUAAAAUUAUAAUAAUUUUAACCAUUACAUCAAAUUUUAACAAUCACGAUUACUUAUUCAGCAGACUCAAAUCCACAAUAAAAAGACCAGCAGACAUUUUUUAAUUAAAAUAAAGUUGUUAAAGUGGGAACCAGUGACUGACAACUCACGCACCAUGCCCACGCCAGGCCAGGCCACCACCACUUCCUCUCGGUCACGUCUUGUGCUUCCCAGUUCCCUCCCUUCCACUCAAAUAAUAUCUAGCAAAGUGCAUAAGUUGGUAAAUAUGGCAGAUUAUUAUAUAUGGCUAUAGCAACUUGCAUUACAACGUUACUCGUAAAGUCCGCUCUCAUACACAUCGGACUCAGUGACAGCAAGUCAAGCUGCAUUAUUAUUAUUGUCAUUACUGUUACGUGAAAACACCAAACGCUUGCUAUCUUGUUUCUUCUUUUUAUUGUACUGUUUGAACCCGCUUUUGAAUUAAUUGUUUUCUUUUUUUUUUUAUCUUAAAAAAAAAAGAUAAUUGAUAGUAAAUUACUGUUAUUCAUGCUACGAAGAAUUUCACUCUGCCCAUGAUCAUAGUCAAACAGACUCACCAACUCGGAGCAUCGAACUCGAGACCUCUCACAUUUUUUUUUUUUUGCAUCGUUGUUUUAUUAAAUUAAGGCUCUUAAAUUUUAAUAUAUAUUUUUUAGCAAACGAUAUAAUCUAAGGGGAUGGGUGAGUUUAGCUUCAUAAUGUGCUAGCAAUAAUAUGGUUCAAAAUCGCCUUUGGAUAGAAUUGAACCUAAGACAUCUCCUUACAAGUAAAGAGGAAUAUUGUGGUGUUAAAUAGUUAAAUUGAACGAGUAUCCUCUUUGUAAGGAUCCUCACAUCGUGUUCGUUCAUCGUACAUUAUGCAACCAAUUUUCAUCAUGUACUGUUUAUAAAGAUCCUCAGAGUCCUCAAUUAAAUUUUAAUAUUUUUUAUGAGCUCAGAAAAUCAUGCAUUAUCCAUUGCUAGUUGUUUUGGGGAUCCGUGUGCUGGCAAGGGAUUACUAAAGGGAUGACUUUUCAACGUGGCAUUGAGGGAAGAAAGGGUAGUAUAGGAUCUCUCCCAUCAAAUCUCAUCAAUCAAUUAAUCAGAACUCUUAAAAUUGGAUCGAAUGACUAAAAUUAUAAUUUUUUAAAGGAUCACUGUUUAUAACCGUUUAAUUAAAUUUCAAUAGUCCGGAUUAAUUGAUUGAUAGGUUUUGAUGGAAAAGAUCUAUUUAGGAUAUUACUCCUGGAAGCACGCCAAGUGUCAAUUAGGAUAAAGAUGAUUUUAGUGAUACCAUCGGACGGAAGAUGGUUUUGGUUAUCAUCAAAAGGUAAUUGGUAGUCACCGUAUGGACUCUACAACACGUUCAAGCGUAUUAAUCCUAUAAAUACAAGUGACCGUGCAACUCAGAAGGCAUUUUCCAACUUAAUAAACAACUCAAAUGCUUUAUGCAAAAAUUUACGAGCUAUGUGAAACGUUUUAUCACAUUUGUUGAGAAAAAAACAGUAAUAUCUUAAUAUGUAAAACGUCUUAUCACAUUUGUUGGGAAAAAACACUAAUUAUCUUAACCCAAAAUACUAAUUAUCAUUGCUUCUGGCUGGUUAGUGAUCCAAGUCUUGGCUAGUAAGAGGUCACUUCAUUAGCUUCCUGUAGAAUCGGUAUCACUCUUUUGUGCAUUUUGCAGUUCAGCAUUCAGACGUUCAUCAUAAAACAUUUCUCUUUUUUUAAUGCUCAUGUCCCUAAUACCGAUUUGGUGCACAUAUAUUCUCAUGAAUAUAAUCGAGGCAACCGAACCUGGUGUAGGAGAUCAUGAACUCGCAAUGAUCUAGACAACCUUGUCUUCAUGUUCUAGAAUAAGGUCAAGAAGUGUUCCUUCCUUGGCCGUAAUUGUUCAACAACAGAAGUCAACAUUUAACACCACCACCCACCAGCACCACAUAUAUUUGUUUGUCCAACUGACGUAAUUAGCUCAUAAUUGGCACGCAUUCAUUCACAAGAACGUACAUGUUAGUGAUACAAUAUCGAACAAUAACAAUACAUACUUUAUUUAGUAGUUUAUACCAAUGGAUGCCCUAUACCCACCCCCUAACUAUCUCAUAAAACUCAACAUCAUUUAUUCUUGCACAUAAUUUUCUCUUCCCAUUUUAGACUCAUAAAAAUAAAAAUAAUAAUAAUAAUAAUUCUCUUAUACCUUCCGUUGGUCAAAUAUAAGGCUUAACCUCUUACUUCCCACUUAUUAUGAUUCUCUUGUGUAAUAUUCCUUUUAUUUUUACAAAUUACAAAUAAAUAUAAUGGUGCUAGUUUAUACAACUUGUCGUUGAACAAUAAUAUGCAUGAUGGUUUCUAUCGACAUCUGUAACAUUCCACAUCGUUCAGGGGAGUGGAUCCUCUAAGCCUUAUAUGUAUAUGCCCAUAUCUACCUAGCAUGAGGCAUUUUGAGAACUCACUGGUUUCGAAUUCCAUCAGAAUUUUGAAGUUAAGCGAGUUCGGACGAGAACGGUCCUAGAAUGGGUGACCCAUUAGGAAGUUCUCGUGUGAGUUCCCAAAAACAAAACCGUGAGGGCAUGGUCGGGGCCCAAAGCGGACAAUAUCAUGCUACAAUAGAGUCGAGCCUGUGAUGUGGUGGGGGCCCGGGCCAGGAUGUGACAAUUUGGUAUCAGAGCCAAUCCCUGGCUGGAUGUGUGCCGACGAGGAUAUUGGGCCCCUAAGGGUGGUGGAUUGUAACAUCCUACAUCGUCCAGGGGAGUAGAUCAUCUAAGCCUUAUAUGUAUAUUAUCAUCUCUACCUAGCACGAGGCCUUUUGGGAACUCAUUACUCACUGGCUUCGGAUUUCAUCGGAAUUUUGAAGUUAAGCGAGUUCGGAUGAGAGCGGUCCUAGGAUGGGUGACCCACUGAGAAGUUCUCGUGUGAGUUCCUAAAAACAAAAUCGUGAGGGCGUGGUCAAGGCCCAAAUCGGACAAUAUCAUGCUACAGUGGAGUCGAGCCCUGGAAGUGGUGGGGGCACGGGCCUGGAUGUGACAGCAUCGGCAUGUCAGGAGUCGCGACGUUAAAACUGAUGCUCUGUCUUCUGUCAAGAAUCCUAUAUCUAUGAUUUUUUGGGUAAAUUACAUUUUAUCCCCUUAAGUUUGCGGUCGAUUUCAAUUCCUUACAACAUCUUUAAAACAUUUCACUUUCAUACCUUUCAAUUUCAUAUAUCCGUGAGAAAAUCUGUUAAGUAAACAGUUGGCAAAUAAGGGGUCCCCAUUUGUAUUGACGUGGCUGCCACAUGGCUAAACACUUAAUAAAAAAUUUAAAAAUUUAAAUUAACUAAUUAAAAAAAAAAACCAAAACUCAAUUCGUCUUCCCCACCCUUUCUCCUUACCUAAGCACACCCCCAACCCAGAAUCCCCAUCACGUUCACACUCUUCACCGCCGGUGCCUUCCUCCUCACGCUCACACUCCUCACCACCCUCACCGAAGCGCACAACAUUACACGCCAACCUUCCUCCACUCUCCUCACUCUUUCUCUUGAACCCCAAACCCCUUAAAAUCCCCAGAUCCAAAAUCCUCAGUUCUCGACCUUUAACCACUACCUCACCCUCACCCACCUUGCUGCCCACAUCAUGACUGCACCACCAUCACUGUCUGCACCGUCGACAACUGGGGAAUGGGGGAUUUUUUUUCUUCAGGUUUUCAUACAAGUAAUUUGGGUUUUUUUGGGGGGGGGGGGGGUUGGUGGGCUGGGCUGGGGUGGGGUGGGAUGGGGGAUUUGGGUUGCAGGGAAGGGGUGGGUUUUUUGGAUGGGAGGAAAGGGAGAAAGGAUAGGGGAAGAUGGUUUCAGGUUUUUAUUUUAUUUUAAUAGGGUAUUAAGGGGGGGGGGGGGGUUGGUGGUGGUGGGUGGGGGUGGGGUGGGGUGGGAUGGGGGAUUUGGGUUGCAAGGAAGGGGUGGGUUUUUUGGAUGGGAGGAGAGGGAGAAAGGAUCAGGGAAGAUGGUUUCAGGUUUUUAUUUUAUUUUAAUAGGGUAAAUUAUUAUAAUAUUUUAAAUGCAUAAAAAAAUAUUUUUUACCAUGUGGCAUAAAUUUGGCAGUCACAUUAGCUUUUAACCGACUAAAUGAUGGAAAAUGUAACAGAUGUAUAAUAUUGAAAUAAAAUAGUAUUUGAGGUAUGAAAGUGAAAUAUUUUAAAAAUGUUAUAAGAAAUUGAAAUCAACCCCUAACCUGAAAAGGUAAAUGUAAUUUACCUUUUUUUUUUUUAAUCACGGUGUCUUUGUAUCUUAGAGUCAAUAAUAUUUGUUUUCCCUUUUAAAUAUUAAAAUAACAUGCUUCAAAGCCUAGUUUGUUGCAAAUGAAAUAAUGUAGUUUCACGUCAUGUUUACAUGACAGCAAUGAAAUAAAGAGGGAAUCGAAGAGCUUAAAAAUAGUAAAAAUAAUGAAGAGAAUCAGAUGAACUAUCUGUCUAGUUGAUAUGAUUGAUGGUAAUUACAAGUUUUAAAAGAAAGUAAUAACUUUUUGGAUUCUUUAUGUGUUAGUAAACACGAAAAAAAUUUAAAACUAAAUAUUAUUUUUUUAACAAAUAAUAUUAUUUACCAUAAGGGCGAGGAGGUGGCUCAGCCUCAUAUAACUUGUAAUAAUAUGAUUCAAAUUCAUCUUUGACUAAAAUGAAACCUAAGAGCGUCUCCAAAGGAGAUGCUAAAUUGUCCAUAUAAGCUUUAACAGUAAAAAAAAACAGCCACUAAUUGUUUCUAACUGAAUUGUCAAAUCCUAUGUAGUAUGACAUGGAAUGGCAGUAAAAGGGUUUACCGUCAAAUUUGACAAGCUUCAAAUUUUUUUUACUAAUUAUUAAAUGUCUUUUAUUAAUUUUUUUUCUCCUCUAUCCUCGAAAGUGUUCGUUUUUCUCAACCUCUGCACUUCCUCAUAAGCUCCAUAACCGCAUCGUUAUCAUCUCCUCCAACUCCCCUCUUCAUCUCUUGCAACAACUUUUCGUAUCUCUCGUUUGCAACAUUUCGCUCAUCCGCAACUUUACGGAUUCUCAAUUUUUUGAAUUUCCAGAUUUUUCUUCGCAACAAUCUCAAUUUUCAAGUCAAGUGUCUGAACAAAUCGAUGUGGAAUCGUCUGGAAGCAAGAAAAAAGUUCUUCGUGGUGCUGGGUUCAACAAAGAUGAGGAUCAUGUUCUUAUUAGUGCAUGGUUGAAUACUAGCAUGGAUGCCAUAAUUGGAAAUGACCAAAAACAUCAAACUUAUUGGCAACGAAUUGAGGAGUACUAAACCAAAACAAGUGGUUCGAGAGUAAUCGUACGGGCCGAAUGUUGUCUAAACGAUGGCAAAAAAUCCAGAAGGAGGUCAAUAGAUUUUCUGCAUGUCUUGCCACUUUAUAUGAGCAUAACCAGAGUGGCGCAACUCAGCAAGACAUGGUAAAUCAAAUAGUGUUGAUGUAUUUAAUUUUAAUUAUACAUAUUUAUUCUCGUGUGGAAUUUUAUUUUUCAGAUUGCAAAUGCGAAGGCUACGUAUGAAGCACUACACCAAAAAAAAUUCAAUCUUGAUCAUGCGUGGGUUUUGUUGAGGCACCAACCAAAGUGGUUACAAGUCGUAGAAUCUUUGAAAAAUAAUUCUACUUCAAAAACAAUAGUAGAAAUUGAAGAUGACAACAUUGAUACUGAGAAAAGGCCACUAGGAAACAAGGCUGCCAAGAUAAAAAUGAAAGAAGCCGCGAAGAACGACUCCACACCUAUUUCGGUGCAAAUUCAAAAGUUACAUGAGGAGAAAAAAGAAAGAGAUGGGAGGAAAAUGGAACUUAUUAAGAAGAAAGUUGAGCACGAUGAACAAAAACUCGACUUAAUCGACUUGAUUUUUAGACAAAAAUUAUGUCUAUGGACACAAGUGACAUGGACGAUGAAGAACGACUAUAUUAUUCCCAACUUAAAAUGAAAAUUCUUAGAAGUGAUGAAUAUUGAGUUGGGUAUUUAUUUCUUCUAUUUUCAAUUAAGGGGUUGUAUUUUGUUGGAUUAUUUGUGGCUGAAUUAAUUAAUAUGACUUUUAUUAUGAAUUAUUUAGAUGUAAAAUUUAAAGUACAAGAUGGAAAUUAAGAAGAAAAAAAAAUUUAAUUUGACAUAUCAGGUAGAGAGCAAAACAUAAAAAUAUAUCAAAAUGCUACAUAAGUUGUUAAAUUUUAAAUUUUAAAUUCAAAAUUUGACAUCUCAUUUAAAAAUAAUAUAAGAUCUCCCAUUUACUUGAGUGUUGAUGCGGAUGCCAAGAUGCUGAUGCAGAUAAUAGCGGAUGAAAGUUACUGUCUCAUCGGAUGUCUCGUCUCAAUCAACACUUCUUUUGUCUAUUAAACUGUUGAUAGUUGACGAUUACAAACAACCAACAAAUGAUAUUUGUUCCCUGCCCUAAUCAAAGUCCCAUUUUCAUCAAAUUAAUUUACGAUCCAACCCUACCUAACAUUACAGAUUAAUACUAUUACUAGUUGAUAUUAACAAUACCCAACACUGUUAGAUUAAGAUUAUAUAUAAUGUCAUAAUAAUGUUGAAUUUAUCAUAUAUGAUUUCGGAUUAAAUUGAAUUAUUGCAAGAAUGAUCUAUAAAUCGAGAUCAAAAAUAGACAGUUUGAAUCAUUGAAGUUCAUCGUGGAAUGGACCCUACAACUAGUCCAUAUUUUAACCUAAAAAGGGAGAUACGUUUGGAUAAAUGGCUGUAAUAUAUUACGGUUAUAACACACAAAAACUAAAGUAGCCAAUAAAAGAUGCAUAUGUUAAACAAAAGAAGUACACAUAAAAAGAAAAUACUUACAAAAUUAACACGAUAAAUGAAUGAUUCAGUCCUACUGAUGAAAUUUAAAUGAGUAAUGCUAGGUAAAUUAGCCUUUUAGACUAAAUUUGUAACCAUGUGAUGUGUCAGCAAGGAAAUAAACACCAUAUCAACACUUAAAUAAUAAUCAUAUCAUCAUCAACACUUAAGUAAUAUGUUUUUUUUAAGGGGGGACCCACUGGUGGCUUCGCUAUGGUAGUCCACUGUUUUUGGGGGCCGAAAGACUCACAGAGGCAAUUCAGCCUCCCUCUGGCCACCAUCAUGUGAUUCACUAGUGGCAAGAAUCGAACCCAGGACGUGCCGUAUAGAAUACUAGCCUAGAAUUCAUUCCUAACCACUAGGCCACCUUGUGGUGGUUCUAGAGCUUUUUGAGAUUCGAUGAAACUACUUUUCUACAAUUUUAAUUUAUUUACUACUUAAUUUCAAUUAUAUAAAUUAUUAUUAUAAUUAAUUUAUUAAUUAAAUCCAGUAUAAUUGUUUGGACCCGAAUUUACACCUUCGCCCUGCGUAAUCGAGGCUGUUGAGUGAGCAUAGCUUCACACCAUCGAAUGAGAAAUAGAGGUAAUUCAUUUUGUUAUUAUUAAAGGAUAAUGUUUUGAUGUUUUAUCAUAAUUAUCUUUUAAUAAUAGUUUAUUAUGAAGGAUGAGAUGUAUUUCCAACUGGAAACAUGUCAGCACAAUUCAAGUUGAUAUCCGGAUGUGGGUGUACGGUACAGUUCAAAAUGGAUUUUAAAAUUUAUUUAGGUAGGAUCAGGAUACAUGAUGAUGGCCUUGGGUGAUGGAUAAGACAAGGAGUCUAGGAAGACUAAGCUUUUGGUGGAGAUGUGAUAAGCCUAGGUGGUAAUGAUGAUACAAGAAACCUAGGUAGACUAGGUUUUUGCAUGGUGAUAAAGUUUUCUACUGGAGGUUUUUUAAUUAGAUCAAAAGUCUAGAUGGGCUAGGUUUCUGAUGUGGUAUGACAAGGCCUAGAUAAGCUUUAUUUUAGAAGUUGCGAAAUCUGAAGGCCACGAAUUAGAUUUAUUUCAACUAGUUAGAGUUGCAGUCAGACUCUACACAAUUAUUUAACCAUGCCAAGCAAGCAUACAAUCACUAUAAAUACAUAUGCAAUGACAACGAAAAAAACCCUUCCAAUUCAACACACAACUACCCUGCGCAAAUUCUCUCAACAACCUUAAGAUUUUUUCUUUUCUUUUUCGCAGACACAUCUUCAGUUGGCAUAAACAGCACUGUGAAGGCAACCAGUGAUAUCUUUAGUUGGCAUAAAUAGCACUGUCGUCGUAGAAUCAACUGAUCUCGCAACAUCUUUAGUCGGCAUAGACAGUACUGCGUUGAGGGUGACUGGUUAUCUAUCCAAGGCUCGGUCGAGAAGGAUUUCCGAAUCCUUGUUGGUCGAGGUCAUCUCAUCAGCCUUUUCGGCGAAGUGAGGUGUUACAGUUUAUUGGGCUCGGCACAUAGCACACCGAGUUAUUUUAUGAUUGGAUACUCUCAAGUGGGAUUUAGAGUUCGGCACUUCGACGACCGAACCACGUUUACUGUUAAGACUUAUAUCCACUUUGAGUAUUUGUGCCCUUACACUUUGGUGUCGAUUCGGCGUGAGUUUACUUUGACGGAUACCAUCACAGUGACCGAAUCCAACGACGACGAUUUGUGAACUUCGUAAGAAUAGUAGCCUUGUCUUCAGGUUUGAGAACCCAGGAGGCCGAGACGUGUUCCUUCUUCGGUCGCAAUCGCAAGACGUAGAAGUCAGCCGUGCACCCAACGCAACAUCAUAUUUUACUCCUCGGCCGAGCUUGGCCGACGAGUUGGCACGCCCCGCAUUCAACCAAAGGACGUAGUUAGCUCAUAGAUUACUCGGUCUGCGCGCCACGUAGGUUUGGUAGUUUUUAGGGUCAACAAUAAUAUAACAAAUUUUUAAAACCUUACAAAAGAAGAUAUUGUUAAUUUAUGUCCCAUUAAUUCAGUAUAUUUCAAAAAAAAAAAUCUAUAUAACAACAACAAAAACAGUUGAACUGUGGGUGUAAAAAAAAUAAAGGUUUUUUUAACAUACAAAAAAAAACAAAAUAAUGAUUUUUAAACGUACCAAUUCACUCCAAAUGAUAUUACAUAUAUAUAUAUAUAUAUAUAUAUAUAUAUAUCAAUGUUUUAAAAGGCUCGCCUCAGGGCACGACUAGGCGCCCUGUGAGGCUGGCUUGAAGGUUGCCGCCUCUGUUUUGAGGGAGUGGGCGGAAGGCGUUGUCCGGUUUUUGAAUCACUUGAUUUCGUUGAGUAUUGAAGAAGUUAUGAACGUUUAAAGUUUACCCAGUUUCCGACGAGUUUUCCAGUUUUCCCUUGGACCAGUCAACUUUGAGGCUAUUUUCUGGCCAUCUCCAGCAACCAUUGGGCUUCUAAAUAGGUAUAAUCUUAUACUACACUUUCCUAUCUUCAUUUUGAUAUAUUAUGGGUCAAAUUUGGUUAAGAAAUGAUUGAGUUACGAAGUUUUGAAAAUUGCCCAAACUUCCGGCCAAGAGCUCCGAAACACUUAAUGGAGUUUUUAACGGAAUAACGAAAAUGAUGGAUGGUGGACAAUCUCAGGGACCACUUCUAUUGAUUUGAAAUCUCAGGGACAAAAGUGAUGUGUUAUACAAAUCUCAGGAACAAUUUUCGCAAUUUAGCCAAAUAGUAAAAUAAGACUAGAAAAGUAAAAGAAAAAUUGAGGUCCACGUAGAAGGCCUAAAUAGUAUCUCAGGAGUAUUUUAAUAAUUUCAUUACUACUAAGAAUAAAAUACGUUAAAGCUUGGGACAUGAUGUCACACACGAGACUUCGUAAGAAUAGCAAUAAAUUAACUAAUAUUAUUAAGUGCAUCUUUGACAUAAAAUGAAUUUAAGUGAAUUUGAAAAGCACAUUAAUUACGAAUAUACUUGAAAUACAGGGUUUAAUAAAAUGUGUAAGAACUAAUCUAAAGUUGAAAAGCACUAUUUAAUCUAAAAAAAAUUAAAUGAGGUGUCUAAAUCUAAUUUUUCGUUUAUUUGAAAAAUUCUACGAUUCACAUGUACAGUAACAUGUUUUGUUUUUAAAGCCGGUUCACCGGUACACGUUGACUAUCAAAUAAGGCUUUGUUUGGUUGUGCUUUUGAAAGAGCCAAAAGCAUUUCCAGAUGAGUAAAAGCGCUUCAGUUUAAAAAAACAGCCGUUUGGCAAAUAUUUUAAAAGCACUUAGUUGGAUACAUGCCAAACAACAAAUUGUUUCUUCAUAAAAGCGCUAUUGAAAAGUGCUACAAACAAAAAGCACUAAUGAGUAAAAAUGCUUUAUAAAGUAGCACAUCCCAACGAACCUUAAGUCCAUAUUGAUAAUUCAAGUUACUUCAUAGAAUAAGUCACCGUUGAAGGUAAGCUACUAAGCCAUACCUUAUUCCAAUUAUUUAAAGAGGAGAAACGAGUGUGGAAUUCUUUGAAAUGCUCCAACAUUCAAACAACAUUAGUUGGAUUGUAUGUGUCAUUUACUAUUUUUCAUUUUACAGUCGCUUUCCCUUCUGUUCCGUUGAGGAUUCCCUCAAGAUAAGUUUAUUUAAGCGAUCUUUUGUAAGGUUUGCUCUGUAUUUCGACAUUCGAACUUGCCCAACUUUUAAGUCUUCCUAUAAAGAUCAUUUUUUAUCAAAAAUUAUUCAAAUCCGAAACUGCUUGACCAUGGAAUUAAAUAGGAGUUAUAUUAAUGUUUCUUUGAAAAACCGUGUUUGUCUAUUUACUUUACUACAAUUGGAUAUUUUAAUGGUUAUGAAUUUGUCUAAUGUUUUGCAUGAAUAAUCUAUGAGCAAUACUAAAAUAUAGACAAUUUGGAUCAUUAGAAAGUGUUAAAGAAGCGUGUCCAACAAGGUGUCCCUCACUUCAAAUAAAAUUAUUUGAGAGAUUAUUCAGCUGAAGGACUGUUUCAUUUUACUUUACAUAUUUUGUAAUUGCCUUUACCUUCUAAAUUUAUAUUAAAAAACGAAGGCGAUGAUUAUUCAUAAAUCAAAUAUAGUCUUGAAUCAACGUAUAAUAUUUCUGACAACCAAGUUCCAAUACCGUUCUUGUAGGCCUCGUUUCGUGUCUAGAACUGCAUAUAAAAAUUUAACACAUCUCUAUUAAUUGUUACAUUCGGAUCAGAAAAACCAAAUUACAUGACCAAGCAACAAGCAAACUCAUGGAACUCUUAGAAUGAUCAGCAAAAUUUUACAGCUAUAAAAAGUGCAAACCUCAGUCAUCGACCUCCUCUUUAAUUUCUCUUUGUAGCUCCUCCUUGUACUCCUCAAAAGUCCCAGGGUAAGGGGUCACCGUGCCAUUCUCAACAACCCAAAUUUCACUCCUCUCUUCGUUCUCGCACACGCGCGAUAUCAGCCUAGAAUCAUGACUCACCAGCACAACUCCACCGGUGAAUUCAUCAAGUGCAUCGGCCAGUGCAUCAAUACUCUGCAUAUCCAAAUGAUUUGUCGGUUCAUCCAACAGCAAAAUGUGGGGCCUUGACAUGGAUAUUGACGUGAACACAACCCGGGCUUUCUGCCCUCCAGAUAAUUUUGCAAUGGGAGUGAGAUGGUUGUGGCUGGGGAGUCCAAAUUUUCCAAGCUUUGCACGAACAGCCUCUUGCUUGCUAAGUCCCUCUUGGUCUGGAUGAAGCCGGAGAAGGUACUGAACCGGGGUCUCGCCCAUUGUCAGGAGGUCCACAAAGUGUUGCGAAUACCUACCGAUCCUCAACUUCUGACUCCUCCGUACUUCACCCUCCGAAGGAACCAAAUCACCUGCAAGAAGGUUGAGCAGAGUAGACUUUCCAGCUCCGUUAGGUCCAACAAUGGCUACACGAGUCCCCAUAUCAAUACCAACAUCAACACCUGACAGCCUGAAAUCCUCCCGAUUCGGAUAACUGAAGCUGACUUCAACAAGUUGCAAAAGUGGAGGAGUAAGCUCUGUAGGUUCAGGAAAGUGGAACUCCACACUGUAAUCUCUCCAUUUCCUAGGAGCCUCAGCUGGUGCGUCAUCUUCAUCAACUUUUCCCUUGGCCUUGUUCUUUGAUGCUUCCUUAGCUGCUGCAGACUUAGCUUUAUCCUUCACUUUCUCCUGUUGGACCCGACUUCCACUCCUUUUGGCAGCUUUCAUCUGCUUGUCAUAAAUUUCAAACUUUUUGUUCACCUCUUUGCGACGUUGCUCAUAACCAGUUUCAAAAUCAUCAAAAUUUCCACGGUAGAUGUCAAGUUUCAGAUCAUGCAGAUGAAUAAUCUCACUGCAAACUGUGUUAAGGAAAUCCCGGUCAUGUGAAACAACGACCAAAGUUUUUUUCCAACGGCACAAGUAUUCCUCCAACCAGAGAACAGCCCUCAAGUCGAGAUGAUUGGUGGGUUCAUCAAGCAACAAAAGAGUUGGCUGAACAAAAAGUGCCCUUGCCAAUGAAAUUCUCAUCCUCCACCCACCACUGAAGGACUUCGUGGGACGGCCUUGCAUAUGCUGUGUGAACCCCAACCCAGCAAGAAUUUUUGAAGCCUGAGCUUCAGCUGAAUCUGAUCCCAUCAACUGCAAUUUCUCAUACAAUUCAGAGAGCUUCUCUCCUGCAUCAUCAUCAAAACUGUCCUUUUCAUCAGCGGAAGCUGAAUUCUGCAAAUCUGCAACCUCUUUUCGGAUUUUUACAAGUUCUUCAUUAGCUGAAACAACUGCUUCAAGAGCAGUUCUGUCAUCACCAACUACCUCCUGCUCAACCAAAAGCACAUCAAUAUUUUUUGGUACUGGAAUCUUCCUCCAAGCAAGAAGCUUCAAGAGAGUAGACUUGCCCAUUCCAUUGGGCCCAACCAAACCAUAUCUCUUCCCAUGUGUUAUCUUCACUGAUGCGUUCUUCAGAAGUUCCUUUCCCCGAGCAGACACAGAGAAAUUUUCUACUGUUAUAUCCUUAACAUUAGCAUCACCAUCUUCGCCAUCAAGUACCGAUGCACGACUUCCAAUAACAACAGUGAAAGCAUCGUGGUCAUCUUUAAGGGCCUCCUUCUUAGCCUGCUCAAUGGCAUGGGCAGCAAGACGGUCCUUCUGGGCACGCUUUUUCAUCUCUUUAUCAGAUAUAGACACAUCAAGUGGCUUAGAUUCUUGCCGCUUUUGUUGUUGGCCCUCUUCCAACACAUCCUCAUCUUCUUCAUCAGAGGAAGGGAGAUCAAUACCAUCAGUGUAUGAUUGACGAUUUGGAGCUGCUUUUGCCUUUGCACUAGAGGAAGCUCCUUUCUUGGGCUUAUCGGGUUUCUGGUCCAUGCUGGCCAACAUUGCAGAGACUGAUAUUUUCUCUUUUUUCCCAUCUUUAGAAGCAUCUUUGCCGGUCGACUUAGCCUUCGCGGAUGCACCACUCUCCUCCGUCUUCUUUCUUCCCAUUGCAGUUAUCUAUCAACAAAAAAGGAAAAACCAUAUCAGCUAACUUUAACAUUAUAAAAAAACCAAUUAACAAACAUAAUCCAACUCAUAAACGAAAAACACAAAAGUUCUAUAGAUGUAGUUUCCACAACACCAAAAGCUGAUAUUCAACUUUAAGCCAGUGGCGAUUUCUUCGCGUUUUCAGAGGAAAGCCGCAACCCGCAAUUUCUUGAUACACAAUUUUCUCUUUCACAAAACAAGUACGCAUUGUUCUGAGUCAAGCAAAUACUCAUAGAACUAGCAUAGUUUGCAGGGAUAAUGGAAAAGCAAUCAAAUUUUCCAGUUUCUAAAGAUGAUGCUCAGAAUUCAAGUACCACUUACAAAAUUAAGUCGCGCCGCAACUGAUUAGAUCGGUUAGGAAGGAAGUUCGUAAAAAAAUAUUAAAUAAAAAUACUAAAUUAAGUUCUAACGCAGAUUAGAUCCAAGCUCUUUUCAGAUGCUUAAAAGGGCAGCUUACUUCGAUUCGGCAAAGAGACAGCUUAGAAAUUUAAUCACUCAAAUACAAAAUUAAUUUCAUGACAAAUAUGAAAAAUCCGUCCACAAAGAAAACGAAUAAAAAUUCAAUCGAAAUUCAGCUGUAAAUUAGACAUGAAAAUUUACAAAGUUGUAAAAUUUCAACGCCCAUAGUUUGGAUCAUGUGCUCACAAAAGAUGAAUAAACAAAAAAUACCUGAGUUUCGCGAAAGAUGGAAGCUUUUUCUUUUCCGUCCGACGAAAGAUGAAAGCUUGCAGAAGGCGACCAAUAAAAGAAUAAGACGACGAUGAUUAAUCUGAAUCCAGACCUAGCUCCUUUUGCACAUAACAAUGAUCAAGUCGGUCGUUCUGGGCCGGUCCAAACUAAGCCCACUUAAACCCCCUAAGUUAUUUUUGUUUGUUUUUUGAAAUUGUGCCGUAGGGAUAAAAUUUGACUAGUAAGGACUUGUAACUCAUUUAUAAGGAAAAGUCAGAUAACCCAUUUUAUUUUAGAUUUAUAAUCCAUCAUGUACAAUCUUGUCAAUCUCAUAUUUUGACACAACAAACAACAGACUACAUUUAAGCCAUUUAAUUGGUCAGAACCUAUUCCAACCAACCUACCAAAAAAACCUUAAGUUAUUGUUGACCCUAGAAACUACCAAGCCUACGUGGCGCGCAGGCCGAGUAAUCUAUAAGUUAACUACGUCCUUCGGUGAAUGCAGGGCGUGCCAACUCGUCGGCCGAGCUCGGCCGAGGAGUAAAAUUUGUUGAUGUUGCGUUGGGUGCGCGGCUGACUUUUGCGUCUUGCGAUUGCGGCCAAGAAAGGAACACGUAUCGGCCUCUUGGGCUCUCGAUCCUGAAGACAAGGUUACUAUUCUUAAGAAGUUCACGAGUCGUCGUCGUCGGAUUCAGUCACAGUGAUGUUAUUCGUCAGAGUAAACUCACGCCGAAUUGACACCAGAGUGUAAGGGCACAAAUACUCAAAACAAAUAUAAGUUUUAAUGGUGAACGUGGUUCGGCCGUCCGAAUGCCGAACUCUAAAUCCCACUUGGGAAUAUCCAAUCAUAAAAUAACUCGGCGAGCAAAGCGCCGAGCUCGAUAUACCGUAACACCUCACUUUGCCGAGAAGGCUAAUGAGAUUACCUCAAUCAAUAAGGAUCCGGAAAUCCUCCUUGACCGAGACUUGGAUAGGUAAUCAACCGUUCUCGCCGCAGUGCUGUUGAUGCCAACGGAAGAUACUGCGAUAUCGACUGAUUCUACGGUGACAGAGCUAUCUAUGCUGACUUAAGAUAUCACUGGUUACUUCCACAUUGCUGUUGAUGCCAACGGAAGAUGUGUCAGCGAAAAAGAAAGAAGAAAAAAAAUCUCAAGUUGUUGAGAGUUUGCGCAGGGCAGUUUUGUAUUGAUUUGCAGGGGGCUUGAAUGAUGCACAGCUUCCCCUAUUUAUAGCACUGGAUCUAUUUGAAUCCGAGUUAAAACCCUACUCAGACUAGGUCUUCUCUUUCUGAUCAACACCACAUCGACCAGUCCUAUUCUUACUAGGAUUGUGAACCUAGUCCUCAACCGAGCCGGAUUCGCUUCCGGGUUACUAGUCCUGCCGAGACUCCUCAUUGCACUAGGACUCGACUUCUUGCGUUAUGACCUAGCCGUCCUAGGUUUGGAGGCCCACGUACUAAACGAUCCAUGGCAUUCUUGUCGCAAGGCCUUCCCGGCCGAGAAUGAUUCUAUACUCGGCCCAAACUAUUAUUUUGGGCCCAAACAUUGCCCCCUCGCUUCUGAGGUCCUCGGCCAGAAUUCGUUGGCCGAGUUUUGGCCUUGAAGAAGCGAAUGUAAUCCUCAGAACCCUAGUGCUCUAUUUCCAAGGUGCAUUUAUUGAGCACGAUUGCACGAUCUUGAUCCUGUUAACCAACUCGCCACGUGGCGUCUUCUAACACGGCCAAUCCCUAAUAAUGAUGUCUAAGGCGUGCGGCUACCUGAACCGUCAUGCCAUCAUGACCUUAUGGCUGAACCUAGCCACUCUACCUCAAUUCGAGAGCCGCUUGUCAUUGUGCAGACGUCGAAACGUCUUUCACCAUUAAUCUCGCCAUCACACGCAAUCGUGCGCCCCCAAAACCUGAGACUCUUGGUCUUCUCAACUGCAUUUCCUGAAUGUUCAUCAUGAUCAGCGAUUCAUUCGGUCGAUUUUGCCCUUUGUUUUGAAUUUCGAACGAUUGCCCUUCCUUCCAAAAUCCUAUAAAUACCGAGAAUCCCUCAUUCAUACUUUACGCUUUCAAAAUCUCUCUGAAAUUUCUUGCCUUUGUUCUCCAGCGCAGUUCUUUUCCCCAAGUCUUCGUUCCUCAAUCUUUAAACCCAGAAAAUUCUUUUCUUGUCAAACCAUUCACCAUGGCCUCCCUUAUCUCCAAGCUUUCUAAGGAGUGUGACCAAUGCCAGAAAAUCAUCGAUCGGAGUUCAAUCAAGACCAUCCGAUUUGAGAGUGACAUGAGUACCUCUCACCCAAUCUUGGGUCCUCUCUUUAAGGCGGCGGUGCCACCAACCAUCACCGGGCUCCUCCAGAAGCACUGCCUGUCAUCCUUGCUGCAAGGAUUUGAAUGGUCGAAGUGGGAGGUGGCGAGGCCUCAGGGCUCCUGGCCCUCAACCACUACAGCCUGGGCAGCCUGGGUCGUACGAAUGGAGAGGCUGUUCGGCGAGCAAUGGAAAGCCCUAGGCAUUUAUGAUGCUAUUCGCCUCUCGUCCAUGGAUAUCAUCCUGGACAAGGAGCUUCUCCUGGCGGCCUCAUGUUUCUGGUGUUCGGUUACUAACACCAUGGUUCUCCCUCUCGGCCCCAUUGGCCCCACCAUCCUCGACCUCACUGCCAUCCUGAGGACUUCCCCAAAUGGGAUCCCAGUCGACGCUGCCCUCCCUGGGUACCCGUCGAACCUCAAUUUGAAGGUGCUCUUCGACAAGCGGGCCCUUGAGACGCUGAGCGGUGAUGGCCAAACACCCUCGAAGGAAGAGGUCCACAAGCUUCACAAGAACUUCUUCAACUACAACACCCUCUACCUCCAUUUUGCCGGCCGAGGAGAUGAGGCUCUGCGAGAAGGGGAGCACGAGGCUUUCCUCUUCUAUUGGUACAACAAAUUUAUUUGUUGUACCAAAUCUAAUAAGUGUCUGGUCGAGAAUAUGCCAGUGGCCGAAGCUUUAGCCAGCGGUCACACUUUGGCACUCAGCCCGGCCAUUCUCGCACAUCUUCUACGCUGCUUGGCCGAAGUCACUUUAGACAAGGUCGAUCCGCAGCAGAAUGGGCCCCUUUGGGUCUUCCAACUCUAGCUGCAGGUCUAUUUUGCCCCUCUUCGGCCAACGAUGGCCGAUUUUUCGCCCAAGGAAGCGCUCGGCCCCCAACUGGCUCUUCGGCCAAUCCCCCCUAACCAAGCUGAAGAAGUGUUCAGAUACUUUUUCGCUCUCGACGACCUUUCUGAUGACGAAUUCUUGAUCUGUCGUCGUCGAGAAUACCCUUCGUCGAUUAGACUUCCUACAUUAGCAUGGGGCGCGGACGAAGAGGCCGACCUUCGUCAAUCUUAGGGGUCCUUCGUGCUUGCCCGCGACCUUCCUCUCGGCUGUGAGGGCCGCCGAGCGAGUUGGGAAGUGUAUCACCCAAACUUCCUCGCUCGGCAGCUUGGCUACCUCCAAGGUUGCCCGGUCCUCCUUCUCUCCUCUCGGUCCGUCUUGAGCCGUGGACGCGAAACUGGUUCUUCCGAGAAGGAAUGCAGCGACGCGAAAAUGGAGUUCCAAGAGCGGUGCCAGAAAUUCCGCCUUUGACCGGCCACUCCAGAAACUCUUUGCACUGAUACCUUCGGUGCCUGGUGGGAAGAAUAUACCCAACAGUUCUUUGGUGUCCCGGUCGAAACCGUUCUCGCCAAACUCUUCGGUGGUCGACCUAAGAAGGCUUCUGCCCCCCAAACCCAAGGUGAUGGUUUAUUUAUACCUUUUUCUUUCAAUCUUGAACUACUGAUCUGCUUUGCUGACUUGCUUUUGCUUCCUCAGGUAGCCGGUCCUUGAAAAAGGUGGAAGUGGUCGCUGCAGCUGCAGCUGAGAAAAAAUCGGUCGCCUCUAAGAAGGCUAAAACCGCUGGGCCGGUCUCACCAAGCAAACGGCCUCGUCAAGAGGCCGAGCCGACCAUCGAACCCCUUCGGCCUGCCAAGCGGGUCAAAAAGUUGGCAAAGAAAGGAGCACGGGAGAUCCACGUCAUUUCCAGUCAUACUACGGAGGCGACGACUCCUAGUGUUUCCCCUUCUCUCACCGUCGGCCAGGUCGAGAAACAGCCAACUUUGACUGUAAAAACAGUCCAAACACGGCCUGUUUCUGAGGUCGGUGCACCAGUCGUCGCUCCAUCGGUCGGGGCUACGCCUGCCCUAGAAAAGGCAGUCCCCGCGAUCGAGAAGACUUCUCCCGCACCUCCAAAGCCUUCGAUCGUCGUUCUGGAAGAGAGCGAAGGGAGCGACGAAGUUCCAGUGGCGAGUCGCCCUCAUCCUCGCCGUCAACCUCUUCCUGGGUCUAAGGUGGCUGUUUCAGUCGGCCCUUCCACGGCCGACCGUGGAAAACGACCAGCCGAGAAGCCAGUAGCGGCGACCGAAACGCUUGCUCCUCCACAGGACCAGGAUGUCCAUCCUGCGUCCGAAGCGGCUGUCCCAGUCGGCCCUUCCACGGCCGACCGUGGCAAACGACUGGCCGAGGAACCAGAGGCAACGACGAAAACGCCCAUUCAUCCUCAAGACCCGGACCUCAACAUUCCUUCGCAUGAAGCUACUUCGGCAUUCGUAAGUGCCUUCUAUCGCCUUUCCUUGAUUAUUUUCCUGCCAUAAAACUCUAAACCAGAAAAAUACUGUCAGGUGCCUGCGUACUCUUUUCAUUGAAACUUCUAUGCGCCGAAGGGCGUUAUCUAUAUUUCUUGGCCACCUCAGUGCCAUCGAACGUAGAUAACCUCCAUCGGCCGCGUGAACUGAGAAGCAGUCUAAGACACUAGGCUCGGCCAUUGAGUUCUUAGGUUCGAGCAACGAUCCUGGAGACAUGGCCGAGGUCUCCUCUCGGCAGGUUAAAAGAAACGAAAACCUUCUUGCUAUCUUUUUUAUGACUUCUUUUGAGCUUAACCUGAUUUGUGUGUGCAGGCUUCGUGGGAGGUCGAAUUCAAAGCUCUUUUGUCCAGCACCACCGGAGGGUCUGGUCAUUCGGCCGCCACAACCGACCCUGCUGAUUCAACUGCUCUGACUCGGCUGCAAGAGGUCUUGUCGCUUUCAGCGUCGCAAGUCCUUGAGCGCAAAGGUCUUGAUGUGCUGGGUGUGUGUCUCAACGACCUUGGAGCCGACGGUCAGCUGAGCGGCGAGGCUGUCGUUUGGGCGUCGACCGCCUUGGAGCGGGUUCGAGAAACUUUUAAUAUUUUUUAGAGCGCUCAACGGGCUGAAUAAGACCUGCAGGCUGCCAUAGUCGUUCAAGAUACUCUCCGUCUGAAGAUUGACGCCUUAAAGGCUAAAGGAGAGGCCUUGGCCGACCUCGACCAUCAAAUGGCCGAAUUGGCGAAACGCUGGUCGGCCAUUACCUCCGAGCUUGCCAAGGACUUCGAGUCGGGUGGCAAGGUUUGUUUGACCGAGUAUGCGGUGAACACAAAACGGGUCGAACGGUUGAAGCUGGACAAGAAGAAUCGGCAGGCCGAGGUCAUCAUGGGCGAGGUGCGGUGGUUGGAGCUGAAGGCCCUACUCGGCACUCUUCUACCUUCUUCACCUUAAAUGUAUUUGAAUGUAAACCGAUCUCAUUUUGUACAUGCUUAUCAAUCUGAAUGAACUGGUUUUCUAUUCCCGCAUUUCCCAUGUGAUCGGAUAGUAUUUCUUUAAAAACUUCCCAUUGAUUGGUAAUCUGUGAACUACACCGGUCCGGUCUUUAAGAUGAUACGCCCCUUUUCCGUAUACUUUAUGCACAACGAACGGCCCCUCCCAAUUUGGCGACCACUUGCCGAACCUAGGGUCUUUUAGUCCUACGGGUAACACCGUUUGCCAAACCAAGUCACCCUCACCGAAUGUUUUCUGAUGCACCUUUUGAUUAUAGGCUCGCUCGGUAAUCCGUUUUUGUGCCACCAGUAAGUUAUAAGCGUCAAGUCGCGCUUCUUCCAAAUCUUCUAAUUCCUGUCUCAUGGAUUGAUUAUAUUCGGCGCUAAACAAACUACUUUGUUCAAUUAAUCGCAACGAAUUUAUGCUUAACUCGACUGGUAACAUUGCAUCGUGUCCGUAGGUUAAUGCAUACGGUGUCGCAGUCGCCGAUCGGGGCGAUGUUCGAUAUGCCCAUAAUGCCUCGUUCAACUUCAAAUGCCACAUGCCGGGUCUCUCUUUUAUUAUUUUUUCGAGGAUGCCGAUCAACACUUUAUUACUUGCCUCGGCCUGCCCAUUUGCUUGUGGAUAAUACGGCGUAGACUGUUCGAGCCGAAUUUUUAAAUUUGCCGUAUACUCUUUAAACCUUUCGGCUGUGAAGAUUGUUCCAUUGUCAGUUAUGAUCGUUUCUGGUACGCCAAAUCUGGUCACAAUGUGUUCCUCCACGAAGUCGCAAACUUCUUUAGACGUUAGCUCGGCAUAUGAUUUUGCUUCGACCCACUUAGUAAAGUAAUCGGUUGCGACUAUUAUCCAUGCGUGCUUGGCAGCUCCAGGAUGGUGUGAUUUUACCGAUUACGUCCAUGGCCCGUCCUCUAAACGGCCAUGGUUUAAUGACCGAAUGCAACGAUUCGGCCGAGACCCUUUGUAUAGGCCCGUGGAUUUGGCACUGUACGCAUCCUCGUGCAGACUCGAUACAAUCCUUUAGUAUUCUUGGCCAAAAAUAACCGUGUCGUCGAAGUAGCCAUCUUAUUUUUCAUCCGGAUUGAUGAGCUCCGCAAACCCCUUCAUGGAUUUCUGUGAUCGCCCGAGCACCCUCUUGGGGGCCGAGGCAUAACAGUAGCAAUCUAUCCUCCCCUUUUCGGUAUAACUCGUUUUGGUACGUGACAUAGUUCGUGGCGUGAACUCGUGUCUUGCGACUAUGUUUUCCAUUGGGAUUGUCAAGGUACUGCAUAAUGGGUUUUCUCCAAUCAUCUGGUGUUGCCUCGAUGGUACAAACCUCGUAGUAUCUUGUCGGUCUAGCAACGAAGGUAAAGACAUGACUCGGGUGCGUAUUACAUCGUCGCGCCUGAAGAUUUGCUGGUUAACUAAGGCCGGGUAUAGUUGUCAUAACACCGGUAUUUCUCAGCCUAGCUUGCCCCCCAGGAGUUGUGCACCAGAGGCAAUUUGAGCCAACUCGUCCACGUCGGUAUUAUGGAUCCGGGAAAUAUGUUCGAACGUAAUACCGUCAAAGGACGCGGCCAAAUAGCUGGCAACCAUGUGGUAGGGUGCCAGGGUACAACUCAUGUAGCGGAAAGACCCAUUAAGUUGGUUAAUCACAAGCUCAGAGUCGCCGAGGACGAGGGCAUGGGUGGCCCGCAAGUCAUGAAGGAGGCCAAUGCCGAUGAUAACGGCUUCAUAUUCGGCCUGAUUAUUGGUGCAAUCAAAAUCCAACUUAAGCGAAAAAUACCAACGAUCGUGAUUAGGAGAUUGAAUGACAACCCCAACAUCGGCCAAGGAUGAAGUACUGAAACCAUCAAAAUACAUCGUCCAAUAGUUGUUGCGUGUUUCAACCAUGCCGAUUUCGACAUCGGUGUCCCAAAAACCUUAGGGGGAGGGGUGGUGAGCAAGGAAAUCGGCCAAUGCUUGGCAUUUGACAGCUUUCUGGGGCACAUAUUGCAAACUAAACUCGGACAACGCCAUCGUCCACUUCCCAAUUCUCCCUUUUACGAUUGGCCGGGUAAGCAUGUACCGGAUAACGUUAGUCUGGGCAAUGACUUGUGUGACCGACGGAAGCAUGUAAUGCCGGAGCUUGGAGGCGGCGAAGAACACGGCAAGACAGAGCUUCUUAACGGCGGAAUAAUUGAUCUCCGGUUGAUUAAGAUUGCGACUGAGGUAAAAAAUAGCAUGCUCUCGCCCGGCAUCGUUAUCUUGGGCAAGGAGGUAGCCGAUGGACUCUUCAGCCGCCGAGAUAUAUAGUUUGAGAGGUUUACUGCGUCGAGGUGGAACAAGGACAAGUGGUGUCGUGAGGGAGACUUUAAUUUGGGUAAACGCCGCCUGAUGCUCGUCCGUCCACACAAAUGUGUCCGAGUCCUUAAGUUUCAAAAACGUCGAAAACGCUUUCAUUUUCCCUGCCGAGUUAGUUAUAAAUCGGCGGAGAAAAUUUAUCUUGCCGAGUAAAGACUGUAGCUGUUUCUUCGUAGUCGGGGGUGGAGCACUGAUGAUUGCACGUGCUUUAUUUUCGUCCACUUCAAUCCCACGGUGAUGUACAGGAAACCGAGAAAAUUACCGGCCGACACACCGAAUGCACAUUUGGCAGGAUUCAUUUUGAGAUUGUGUUGGCGCAUACGAAGGAAAGCCUGUCGGAGAUCAUCCACAUGAGUCCGCCGUUGUUUGGAUUUAAUUACAACAUCGUCGAUAUAGACUUCGACGAUGGUUCCAAUUAAAUCAUGAAAUAUGGUGUUCAUUGCCCGUUGGUAUGUGGCGCCGGCAUUUUUGAGGCCGAAUGGCAUAACAACCAAUUCCUAAGUGCCGAGUGCCCCCGGGCAGCGGAAAGCAGUUUUGUGCACAUCGGCUUCGGCAAUGAAAAUUUGGUUGUACCCGGCAUGUCCAUCCAUAAAUGAUAAGAUCGCAUGAUUCGCCGCGGCAUCGAUUAACAGAUGUGAAAUCGGCAUUGUAUACUCAUCUUUGGGAGUUGCCAUAUUCAGAUUUCUGAAAUCGAUGCAGAUGCGCAGUGCACCAUUCUUCUUUAAGACAGGAACGAUAUUCGCCAACCAUUCCACAUAUCGAGCUGUUCGAAUGAACCCGGCUUUCAAAAGUCGAACCAGUUCGUCCUUGAUGCCGAGUUGCACUUCAGUCGAGAAUCGACGAGGCGGCUGCCUGAAAGGUUUACAUCUGAGCUUAAUACGUAAUUCAUGCUCGACAAGAGUACGAUCUAAGCCGGGCAUUUCAUGGUAGCUCCAAGUAAAACAAUCUUUGAACUCCGUAAGCAAGGCACGAAGUUCAUCCUUCAUUUGUUGGGGAAGUAAAGCACUAAUAAACAAAGGUCGUGGGUCGUCGGCCGUCCCAACAUUAAUCUCUUCCAGGGGGUCCUUAACUUGGGGCUGAUGAUCUUCGAGCUCGGCCGGGACGGCUCAAACUUUGUCAAAGGAUAAGAUAGGACCAUUAUUUCCUUCAGCAAGGAACUCGACGAGGUUAACGCUCGAAUUUGGUUGUUUAGAUAUAGUAUACCAAUGGGCCAGCAGUCGUUCCAUAGUAGAUGAAACCGCGGCCCUACGUUCUUCCCGAUCAGGGUCAAACAUCGGCUUCGGGGAGGAAGUUGGCUAACCCGAGUCUCGCUGAAUCCUGGUGGACAGUCUCGGCGCCAACCUCGAUAGCUUUCUGAACAGAAAUCCGAGUCGGUCGUCCUUCAUCAUUGAAGCCUUGCAAAGUAAUGUAGCCGACGUGGUCAUCAAAGUACCGUGCUUGGAUCAUGUUGGUUUCGAAAGGUUGGCUAUCGGCAGGGUGAACAGUGACCGAUUUGCCGUCCCAAAAAACGAGCACUUGAUACAAUGAGGAAGGAAUACAGCUGGUUUGGUGAAUCCAAUCUCGACCGAGUAGUGCAUUAUACUCGAUUUUAGAACCGACCACGAAAAAUGCGGUUAUGUGAGUGCGACCGGUAAUAUUCACCGUUAACGGAAGGACACCUUUGGUUUGGGAUUUGUCACCGACGAAACUACUCAUUGUGAUCCCUGACAGAAUAAGUUCGUCAUUAGAGCGACGUAAGGUCUUCAUGAUGUUCAUAGGCAUGAUAUUGACGGUAGCUCCACAGUCGACAAAAACUUUAGAAACUGGAUAUCCCUUGAUAUGGGCCGUCACAUACAAUGGCUUUAAAUGAUGGAGGUUGGCCGAUGGUGAGCGAGGAAAUAAUUCGACCAAAGCUGCUUUGAUAUUGUCAUCUUUUGUUGUAGAGUCAACUUCAGCAACGGAUACAAAAUCAACAUGGCCGGCUUCCUCGGCGACUACAUCACCAUCGAGGAAAUUCGACUGAGCUGUGCUGGAUUGAAAAGCAGCGGGUAACACAUGGACCAUACUGAUUUCCAUGUUAUCCAAUACUGAUUGGCCUAUCGGGUUAGGAUCCUCCUCGCUAACCUCAUCUCGCGUCUGGUCGGCGACUAUGACUUUCGUUGUUGUCAGAGUUGGACAAAGAGACUCUUCUGCUCCUUCUUCAAGGGUUUGAUCCUGCGUUGCUGCUUCGGCAGCUUGUUGGUUCUGCGUGAUUGCCUCAAGUGAGGUUGAGGUCGACAGUGUGCUUGGGGUCAAGAUCCGAGCCUGCUCCUGGUAGUGUAUCCGGGCAUCCCUGGUGUCGAGAUAAGCAUCCAAUCGCGCAACACAUGCUAUUUCAUCGGUCGUAAGGCCGAAGAGAGAAACAGCCGAAAAUACUUCGAAGUGAUAUCGUAAAUACUGAAGGUCCUCCAUUGAGAAAGGAAGGUCGGCUGCAUCGAUAUCAGUGUAUGGGUCGACUUCAAAUCCAAGGACAUGAGCUUCUCGUAUAUGCUGGAACCUUGCUUUCAAUCCUGGGUCUGAGGUCUUCUGAAUGAUUCACUCGGCAUCAGGACAAGUCAGGACUAGAUCAAUUGUAUCAUGAAAUGCCUUCGGCAAACCAUACAGAUCAUUGGCCGAAUGUUUCUUAUGGAAUUCUCGCAUGUACUCCAAAGCCUCUCCGAGGAACGGUGGGUGCAAAUUCUGUCGAAUUUUGAUCAAAAGUUCUUGUAUGGCCGACGGGGCUAAUUUGCUUUCGGCCUCUUGCCUGAAAUGCUCGAGACGUGCCUUCAUCUCCCCCGGUCGAAGAAGACGUUUGAUCCGUUUAUCAGCCUCUUCGAACGUGGUUUCGAUAUCUCGGUUGACCAGCCAUUUCCCUUGAACCAACUCUGUCAUAAUAGCUGGAGGUGGUCGUUCAUCAUCAGUAACAAUUGUGUCAUUCGGCCGCCAUUGAGGGGCCAAAGUUUCUUAGGCCACUUGUCGGCGGGCCAUGCAAUCUAUCCUUUGAUGCCGGCGUUUCUGGGAUUUGGACAGUGCGGUGUAGAUGCCUUUCGAAGAAUGAUAUGUAUACCAACGUUGAUCGCUAGGUUUGGGAGGUUUGAAAGUUUUUUGGCUUCGCGAUGACUCCGAACUACUAGAAUUACGUUUAUAGUAGUCCUCGUCGUAAAAUGAAGCAUCAAAAUCAAGACGACGCCUGACUGAGGGUGCCUCUUCCAUCCUCACUUUGGGACCGAGCCUAUCAAAAACCCCUUGAUGUUGGCCUACGUUAGCAACCUUUUGCUGGGUUGCGGCCGUAGGUCGUUCCGUUAUAAGUGAAGAUGGCUUCUCCUCUGGCUCACUGUCGACCUUUGCUCUACAUUUACUACACAAAACCGCUGUCCCACUGUCUUCAUCGGUGGUAUAAUCCAUCAUAGGUUUGACAAUAGCGGGUCCCGUUAAAGCUGUAGGUGGUUUGUUUGAACGAAAAUCGACCAUGAAACGUGGCCGAGAAUUCUAAUUCCGAAAGCGUUGCGUCGCAACAUCUUCGGCCUUCCCUUUCCCUUUGUCUUUAGGUAGGCACGCAUCGACCAUAUUUACUGUUGCCGUGGGGAACGGGUCAGUAUCAACACUCAUCUUCUUCUUUGGAAAUUUCAGUUUGCCAUUAUCAAUCCAGCUUUGGACGUUGUCUCGAAACACGACGCAAUUGUUUGUCGUGUGUUUGCUUGAAUUGUGGUAUUUGCAAUAUAUCUUUCCUUUAAGCUCUUCAGCCUUGGGAAUGUUGUGCCCAGGCCGAAGUUUGAUGAUCCUUGCUGAUAACAGUUGAUCAAAAAUUGCAUCGGCCUUUGUAAUAUCAAAAGUAUAAACUUUCGACGGUUUCAAUGCUCCUUCAGUAGCCGAGCGGAUUUUGACUUCCUUAGAGUCAACUUGAGUUAGUGCCUUGCAAACGUAUGGCUUAUCUAUCACUAUCUCAGCUGCAUCCACACUAACGCAUUCAUCCUCGGUUGAUGCAUAAUUAACAGCAGGAUUCUUGUAAAUCGUCCCCCGAGAUGGAGCUUUCGAAAUCUUUUCCUUGCGGAGCAAAUAUCAUACUGCUCGACAUGUUGGGCUAAUUCGUACAUAUCCCGAAAGUUUACCCCCAAGAAUUUCUUUUGUAUUCGACGUCAAGACCGUUCAGAGCAAGUCUGACGAAUUCAACUUCGGGGAGAGGCACUCGACACCAAUUCCUAGCUGAUUUGAAUCUAGUAAGAUAAUCCAUUGGUGACUCGUCGGACGCCUGAGCCAUCCUUGCUAGUGAGGAUACUGACAUUUCCAUUCCCGGCCGAUAAAACUGCUCAUGAAAUUUCUCGACCAACUCCUUCCAACUCUGGACGGAGUUCGGUGGGAGGUUAAUAUACCAAGCGAACGCUGAGCCGGUCAACGAAAAAUUGAAAAGUCACAGCUUGUGAAAGUCACUAUUAACGUCUCUGCAUUGUGCGGUGAAGCGAGCUACAUGUUCUAACGAGGAUAAGGAUGAUUCUCCAGCAAAAAGGCUAAAAUCCAGGAUCUUAAAACCUUUAGGGUAUUCGACCUAUUCCACGUAAGCUGGAUACAGGUGUAUAAACUUAGGGAACUUCGGCCCUUUCUUCAUGGCCGAAUCGAUCAUUCGUUGAACUUCGGUCAUAUCGACGGGCGUUACUUCCACUCUCUGGUCGGAUCCGUCUGACCUACUAUUCGACCCUCCUCCUCUUUCCAAUUGAAGUGGCCUGAGCCGAGCAGGAAUUGGCUCGGCCGGUGCACUUGAUAAUAGAUUAUUCCUCGGCGGUAAAUGCUGGGCAAGAUCGAAAGUUCUACUAUCGCUGAUCUUACUAACCAGUAUUUCGAGUAAUCUGGUUUGUGCUUCACUAGAAUUGCGUAUCAUGUCAUGAAGCUUAUCGAUUCCUCGACUCAAUGUCUGUUCAACCGUCUGAGAUUGCUCGUCAAGCCGUUUUCGAAGAAACGACCUUGUGGGUGGAUCGGAUCCUUCGCCACCAUCUUCAUCACAAUCUUCUAUUACUCCUUCAUUGAGAACGCAAGUGUUCCUGUCAGGAAUUUCAACACUGCGAACCUGACCGCCGAGAUUAACUUCCCUCUCUCGGCGAGUUGCGCUUGUGGACUCAGGUGUCACGGCGCUGAUGGGAUUCUGCGCUUGUGGCACAUGGUGUCCUAUGUUCUGAUUUGGUAGAUCGGUUGUCGACUUUCCCAUAGCUGUUUUCUUUUUUACCGAUCGUGUUUCAAUUGGCAUGAACUUCGUAGUUUAGCACUGGGUUCCACUGGGCGUGCCAAAAUGUUGACCCUAGAAACUACCAAGCCUACGUGGCACGCAGGCCGAGUAAUCUAUAAGUUAACUACGUCCUUCGGUGAAUGCAGGGCGUGCCAACUCGUCGGUCGAGCUCGGCCAAGGAGUAAAAUUUGUUGAUGUUGCGUUGGGUGCGCGGCUGACUUCUGCGUCUUGCGAUUGCGGCCGAGAAAGGAACACGUAUCGGCCUCUUGGGCUUUCGAUCCUGAAGACAAGGUUACUAUUCUUACGAAGUUCACGAGUCGUCGUCGUCGGAUUCAGUCACAAUGAUGUUAUUCGUCAGAGUAAACUCACGCCGAAUCGACACCAGAGUGUAAGGGCACAAAUACUCAAAACAAAUAUAAGCUUUAAUGGUGAACGUGGUUCGGCCAUCCGAAUGCCGAACUCUAAAUCCCACUUGGGAAUAUCCAAUCAUAAAAUAACUCGGCGAGCAAAGCGCCGAGCUCGAUAUACCGUAACACCUCACUUUGCCGAGAAGGCUAAUGAGAUGACCUCAAUCAAUAAGGAUCCGGAAAUCCUCCUCGAUCGAGACUUGGAUAGGUAAUCAACCGUUCUCGCCGCAGUGCUGUUGAUGCCAACGGAAGAUACUACGAGAUCGACUGAUUCUACGGUGACAGAGUUAUCUAUGCCGACUUAAGAUAUCACCGGUUGCUUCCACAGUGCUGUUGAUGCCAACGGAAGAUGUGUCAGCGAAAAAGAAAGAAUAAAAAAAAUCUCAAGUUGUUGAGAGUUUGCGCAAGGCAGUUUUGUAUUGAUUUGCAGAGGGCUUGAAUGAUGCACAGCUUCCCCUAUUUAUAGCACUGGAUCUCUUUGAAUCCGAGUUAAAACCCUACUCGGACUAGGUCUUCUCCUUCUGAUCAACACCACCUCGACCAGUCCUAUUCUUACUAGGAUUGUGAACCUAGUCCUCAACCGAGCCGGAUUCGCUUCCGGGUUACUAGUCCUGCCGAGACUCCUCAUUGCACUAGGACUCGACUUCUUGCGUUAUGACUUAGCCGUCCUAGGUUUAGAGGCCCACGUACUAAACGAUCCAUGGCAUUCUUGUCGCAAGGCCUUCCGGGCCGAGAAUGAUUCUAUACUCGGCCCAAACUAUUAUUUUGGGCCCAAACAGUUAUAUAGAAUCUACUUGCCACCUAGCACGACCGAACUGAGCAAGCGUUAAACAGAGUAUUUGGAAAUUUUGUCAUUUAAUUUACAAAGUUUUAUCUACAUAUUUAGUCUCCCUAACAUUACUCUUGUAAUAUUAACAAAAAUUACUCCAAAAUAUGCAUACCCUUGCCAGAACUAAAAUCUACAAAUUUCCAAACAAACCAAAUCCCUAAAAUAAAUUAUUAAACAAAAAAAAAAGAGCACACCCAAAACAAUACAUUUACUUUUAAUUUAUAUUGCAUUUAUCACUUCAAAUAACAACAAUUUAUCAUAUAAAACCACCGUAUGCAAGGGAGAGUCUCUCUCCAUGAAGGGGGUUUGGAUGAUGCAAGGCCAGGCUCUAAGGAAGCGCAAUAGGCUACCAACACCGCAAGCUCAAGCAAAAUACAUUUUCAAUACAUCAACGACCUAGAGCUAGAGCUAUAGCUAGCUACUACUCUAGUAACCUUCUUUAGUUCCUAUAUACCAACUAGUUCUACGAGUGAGUAGGACUAGAGGGCAAAAACCACAAGUCCAGUUACAGACAACUUGUAGGCUGAACUGUACCGGCAGUUGUUCCGCCUGCAUGGCUGCAUGAAGCUUCAGCUGCUUGGUUCUUGUAAGUGAGCUUCACAUCUUGCAGUCUGAUCCUGUUGCAAGGAUACUUGGAACUACAAUCGAAUUUCACUGCCACUUCCGUCGCCGAUGUACCAUGAAUGUCUUGAUAUGUCACGUCGCUGACCUUAACUCCGGAAACUUGGUCGGGGCAACCUUUGUUGUUAGGGCAAUAAUGUUGAUCUAUAACGAUUGGAUUUUGAACGUUGGUCAUCACAACAUGUUGGAAAAGAAUGUUCCUAGCAAAUCCAGUGCUAGGUCUCCCCCAAGACUUGAUCCUUACGCCAUUUUGAGUACCAGUGAAUGUAACUGUUUUAACUGUAACAUUUUGUACACCGGCUUCUUGUUGGUCCUUCCCUAAACUCCCAAUGCUGCACAAACAAAUAUUGUUAACUUAAUUAGAGGAGUAUCAAAAACCAAAAUUAUGAUACAUUAACCUAGCUACAUAUGUACCUGAUUCCAUGGCCGGGUCCACAAGCCACGUUUUCAAUCCACAAAUUUGUGGUGCCGGGGCCAAUUGAGACACAAUCGUCACCGGUUGAAAUUUUGGAGUUGAGAAUGGUGACACCAGAUGACAUUUGGACAUGGAUGCCAUCGGUGUUGGGGCUGUUGCCGGCGGCGAUAACCUUGACACCUUGCAUUUUCACAUUGUGGCAGCCGUUGAUGACAAUGUGGAACAUUUGGCUGUUUAGUGAUACUAAUCCACUCACCACAAUGUUGUUGGAGUUGGAAAAACCCAGUGUCUGCACAAUGAUUAAUUUACACAAAUUAAGUCUUAUAUACAAUCUAGUACAUAAUUUGGUAUUAACUAAAGUAUUAAAUCUAAAAGGAACUUGAUCUUAUUAAUAUAUAAUUUCUCUAGUGCAAGCAAUUGGUUAUAAAAUAAAUGGUAGUUUGACGUAUGAAAUUAUCAUUUAUAUAAAUAUCAUACAAGCACAUGCAUUUGUGGUGUUAUUUAUCAUCAAUUUUAUGAUAUUGUUCCUUUGUUCUGACAAUUAGUACAGGCAUGAGAUUGAGUAAGAAAUCGUGUGAGGGAUGGACGGAAGAUAAUGCAAAUUCACAUGUGGAUGCAUUAUAUAUUGCUAGAAACAUGAAUAGAGAAGGACUACUAUCACGGUGGUAUCUCGGAACAUUGAUAAAAAUUAUGUAUAAAACCCUAUUCACAUAAUUUUAUAUUAAUGUCCAGGAACAUCAUGGUGACGAAAAAUUCAUUCUAUCGAAAUUUCUCUCUCGCGCAUGAACAUGGCAUUAUUUAUGCAACUUCAUGUACAAGAACUCAAGCUAGGUCUUUAGAAGUAAGAACAUAAUGAGACUAAUGCUCUUUAAUUGGGAUUACUACCUGUGCUUAAUCCUAUUUCCCAGAAAACCGAAUGACCCAUAUAUAGUUAAAAAAGUAAUUAAUGAAAAAACCCGUCAUUGGUACGUAACCGGUGGAAACUGACCAAUUAAUAGUUUAAUAAUGCUCCACUAAUUGAUCACUUCCUUAAGUGGCCACCUAAUUAACUUAAUUUUUACUUGAUGCAUGCACGUAAUCAUAUAGUUAAUACUUAAUAUCUUGUAUAUAAAUGAAAGGUACUGGGAGAAUGUUGACGACGUUCCAACUUUUCUUUAAAAAAAAUUAACUAUCGAUGAAAUAAGUGAUUAAGUUAAACUUACGGUUGCUCCGCUGGGGCAACUCUGGCCUGAGGACUUGCAACCCCACAAGCCGGUGCCCUUACCGUCCAGAACUCCACCGGAAAUGGUGACCCCAUUGACAUGCUGAAAGAAAAGCCAGUAAUCGGCGUUUCCAAUGACCCGGUAAUCAGACGGGGCCACGAGGGUGCCGGCAAUGCGGAAGGUGAUGGCGUUGUUCUUGCAUGGCCCAGAGAACACAGCAUUGCGAAGCAAGAACCUCCCUGCGGGGACAUAGAUGACAGCGGGAUUGACGGAGGCACAAGCUUUGGCCCA
rnacentral:lncRNA from 1 species